rnacentral:lncRNA from 1 species
GCAAUAAGAUAUUUUCCCUUUUGCUGAUGUGAGACAGCAGCUGUCCCCCAAAUUGGAAGAAUUCCGGUUGGACGGUAAACCCUACAAUUCCAGAAUCCAAUUCAAAAAAGUACAAAUUACAUCUCAACAUUUCAAAUAUGUUACGCAAUCUGUACGUGCCGAUCCUACAAUGCGACACCGAAUUCUCCUUUUCUCCUUCCACACUAUUAUCUCCCGGAUAUUUUCUUCUCUCUCACCCCUAUAGUUUGGUAUACAAUUUGUUGUCUCGCCAUAUGAAACAAAUGCACCAGAUUCUUUGAAUUAUUAUGCAGAUUUUUAUCAUCAUUUUUCGCUUCCUCGUUUCUCUAAUUUUGCACGCUGUUUUCUGAAGGCGUUCUAAUCCCAUUUGCAUAAAUGCAUGUAAGUUUUUAAAUUAACUUCCAUUGAUUCUCUUGCUUUUCUAGAUUUCCUUUAUUGUUUCUUUUCAUCCGAUGCAUUUGUUGCUCUUGACUCUUUUCCUGAUUUCAUUCAUUGUUUCGGGAAAGAACUGUAAAAAGUAGUAAAGUGUUUUUUUUUAACAUGUGCAUUCAGCAAUAUGUCUUGCCACUUUUUCAUCUUAACCCUCAUAACAUUAAUCUAGUUUUGUUUCUCUUCGAAGUCAUGGGCAGAUUCAAAGCCAGAGAAUUAGUGGUGCUCAUGUUAUGGAAUACUUGGUGUCACUUUAGUAAUAGAAGACAUGAUUUGUGGUAGCCGGGUAUCGUUUCUUCUUUCUAUUUUCUAUAGAGCAUAUUGGUUAUUGUGCUUUCUUUUAACAUAUGGAACUUUACCUUAUUCAGUUUUGUUUCUUCUCUUUUUUUGUUGCACUCUUUGAAUUAUAUAAUUUUUGUUAUAUAAUUUGUUGUCUUUCAUCUAGGCUUCUAACUUUGUUUUAUGUUUGUAUUUUAUGCAAUAUUUCUAGAUAAUAUGAUGAGUAAUCAUGCAUUUUUCUCUCCCUCUAAAUUAUUUGUACAUAGAUAUGUUAGAAAACCAACACAAGGGUAGUGGAUCAAAAGUAUAAAAUUAAGAUUUCGAACCUAUGUCCUUGUUUUAUGGGGAUUAAAUGUGACCUUGUGUAGUGAAUUUUAUCCUCUCUUUUGUAUAUUUUUCCCCAUCUAAGAAACUCUCUACAACAUCUAACUAAACAGAACUUUUUAGACACCUCCUAACACCCCCUACACAAGCAUUGAUGCAAAUACAUGAAUUUAGAAGUGCCUGGACAUUUUAGUACCUAAACUAUUACAUGAUUCUAAUGAAAAAUGAUAGUUAAUGCAUGUGAAAAUCUAAAAUUAGUAUCUAUCAUCCCCUUUCAAUUCUGAAAAAUUUAAACAAUAUGGUUGUCUUGAAAAUAAAAAAUAUUUAUUUAUUUAUCUUUUAGUGUUGCGAAGAUAUCAGUCACUUUUGUUUAUGGGGUUCAUAACUUGAAAUUCGUAUGCUUAGUCCUUUGGGAGAAAUUAAGAUUCAUGGUCAUGAGAAUGACUAAGAAGAAGUCACAAAAGAGAGUUGUAAGAGAGUCUUGGUCUUGUUGGGUUGUUGCAUGACUUUCCAAAUUGUUUUAGAUAAGCUAAAUUCACAAAGUCCAGCAAUCAAAGAGUGAUUCACGGUUGGUUAGAAAUAACUCCUAAUUCAACCAGGGAAGGAACUAAUGUGAUUAAGUUGGAGCGAUAAGCUUAGCUCUCAAUUAUGGAAUCCCCUAGUAAGAAUAUCUUUCUACUUGUUUUACUUCUCAUUUUGGGGACGACAAUAAAAGAUUUGACUGAAUGCCGCUCACCAUUGUGAGGAUUUCAUUAUAUAGAAAAUUAUGAUAGCCUUACAUAAAAGUAUAUAUUCACAACCAUAUAUGGUAAAGCUAAUAAAGGAAAGCUAAUCUCUAUCAAUAAAUACAAUUGAUGUAAAAGAGAUAGGUCACCAACUUUCUUCACCUUUCGACGCUGAUCUAGCUUCAGCCCUCAUAUAUGUUCUUACGAGUUUACACAGUGGUACUCCCAAAGAUAGAUCUAGUGGAGACGAGGUAAGGACUAAGAUUUUAAUCAAAUAUGCCAAUUAUAGAAGUCAAAUAGAAUAUGCUAAUUAUGGAUUUUGCAAUCUAUCAAUAAUCAAUCUUGUAAUUUGUUAAUUAUUCUGCAAUCUGUCAAUUAUAAUCAGUCAAUUAUUGAUUCUACAUAUCUCAUUGAUAUCUCCCUUAAAUCGAUGUGACUUGAUCAAGAAGCAUUAAUUUGCUAUCAAGAAAUUGAUGUCGUGGUUGAGGUAAAGCUUUAGUGAAGACAUUGACAAUUUGAAGAUUCAUAGAGAUACGAGGAAGGUUAAGUAUUUUCUCGUCAUAAGCUUCAUGAAUAUAGUGACAAUCAACCUCUAUGUGUUUGGUGCAUUCAUGGGAAAUCAGAUUGGCAGCAAUUUGAAUAGCACUCUUGUUGUCUACAUAAAGAAGAGUAGGCUCCUUUCGAGAGAAACAAAGCUUUCUUAACAAACCAUAAAACCAAACAAUCUUGAAACAAACAGAGGAUAUGUCAAGAUACUUGGACUCAAUGGAAGACUUGGAAACUUGAGACCGUUUCUUAAUUUUCAAGAAAUAAGUGUAUUGACAAGAAACAUGCACCAACUAGUGACUAAACGUUGAUUAUUCGCACAAUCCGCCCAAUCAGCAUGAUAAUGAACCACCAAUUGAAUUGAUGAUGCAGGGAAAAAGUAAAGACCGUGAUUAGAAGUACCUUGUAGGUACCGAACAAUACAACAAAGUGUAGUUAAGUGUGGACGACGAGGCGUUUCAGCAUAAACUGACUAACCUGUUGAACGACAAAGAUAUGUCGGCCUAUUAAUGGCAAAUAGUUCCGACUGUCGACCAAUUGUCGAUAGAGAGACCUCAUCCUUAUGAUGCUUCACAUUUAUCUCUAUGGGAAUUGCACAGGAUUCCCAUCCUGAAGACUUGCUAAUGUAAUCAAUUCCUGACUAUACUUAUGUUAAUGUAAGAAAUUACUUGCAAGAGUAGAUUUUACUUCAAGACCCAAGAAAUAUUGUAGUGAACCUAGAUCCUUUUUAUGAAAGGAGGCAUUGAUGUUGAAGCCGCGAAAUCAAUACAGUAUCGAUCCCUAUAAUAAUAUAUCUAUAUGAACCAAAAGCACCAUAAUUCCACCAAGUAUUACACAGAAACAAGAAUUAUACUGGCUCUGGACAAAGGAAAUAUCAAGGAAAGUAGAUUGGUACUUAUCAAACCAAGCUUGAGGAGCCCAUUUUGAACUAUAGAGACCUUUUUAACCAACACACAUCUGUAUGAGUAAUAAACAAGCCUUGUGGUAAGAGUCAUAUAGAUCUCUUCGUUGAGAUCACCAUGCAAAAAGGCGUUUUGACAUCUAUCUACAGCAUAGGCCAACCUAGUAAGACACGUAUCGCUAAAAUAGUUCAUAUUGUAGUAAUUUUGGCUAAAUAAGCAGAAAUCUCCUCUUAAUCUACCCUAUACUCUUGCCGAUUACCAAACGCCUCCAACCGUGCUUUAUACUUGUCUAAAGAACCAUCAGACUUUAGCUUGAUGGUGUAGACACAUUUACACCCAAUAGGCUUAACACUAAAUGAACAAAAACAAUAUCCUACAUAUGGUUCUUCUGUUAAGCUUGUAGCUCUUCAUCAAUAGCCUUUACCCAACUGGCUUGCAUAACUACAUAAGAGUAAGAAGUAGGCAUACUGAGGCUAAAGUUGCAUUAAGUGACGUGUGGGAAAAGCCAUACUUUUCAGGUGGAUGAAAAGGUAGGGAGGACUAUCAAGGAGUAGAAGCUUCAAGAACAGAUGCUAGACUAGGGUUGGAAAGGGGCUAUGAUAGAAGUGGAGGUUCUCGUUUUUGUUAAACAACACUUUGUUUAAAGUACUCAAUAAGGUGAGAUACAUCAUCAAAGUUAGGAAGCAUGGCCAGAUUAGAACUAGGAACAUGACUUUCAAGGAAAUAUUGAUUCUCAAAGAAGAUCACAUUUCUAGAAAUACGAAUGCCAUUAGUAGCAGCAUCAAAUGCAAUACCUUUUUUUAGACAUAUUGUAGCCUAUGAAAGUAUAUUGAACAGAUUGAAUAGCAAGUUUAUGACGUUGAUGAAGAGAUAGAUGAACAAAGCAAGCACGUCCAAAUGUAUGCAAGGUUUGAUAACUAGGAUGCAAACUAAACAAACGAUAAUAUGGUGGCUCAUAGUUUAAAAUUUGUUAUGGAAGACGAUUAAUCAAAUGGAUAACAAUGGACAAAGCUUCGACCUAAAACUUGGAAGGAAUAGAGGACUCUAAAAGCAAAGUUUGAACAUCUAAAGGAUGGUGAUUCUUACGUUUAGUCAUGCCGUCCUAUUGAGGUGUAUAAGGGCAAGAACGUUGAGAAAUGCUGCUUUUCUGCUACAAAAAAGGCUUGAAAAACAUGAGACAUAUAUUCACCACCAUCAUCAUACCUCCAAAUCUUAGUACAUGUGGAAAACUGGGUCUUAGGGUAGGUAACAAAGGUCAAAAAAGUAUUAAGUACCUCUCCCUUAGAAUGAAGGACAAGUAAAAUGGCUACAAUCAUCAAUAAAUGUCACAAAAUAUUUGCAAAGAGCACGUACAGAAAAUGGUGUAAUGCCCCAAACAUCACUAUGGAUAACAUUAAAAAAUUUUGUAGCAUGAGACACCAUGCAUAAGGGUGAAUUUUACCAAGUGUGCAAGGAGUACAAUUAAUAGACAAGUCAUGGGUGGGAAUUGGAUCUUUAUUACUCCGAAAGCCAUGCUCAAACAAAUAUUGUAAAAUUAAAGAAUUGGGAUGGCCUAAUUCGCUUGUGCCGAACCUCCCUUUGAUUGCUUACAGUAUUAGAAGACAAAGAUAUAACCCUAGGAAUAUAAAAUUGCAAAGGAAACAGCCUUCCCACUUUAGGCCCCUUCCGAUCACCUUUCCUAACUUCUAAUCGCACAAAACCACCACCACGAGAGAAGGAAACGUUACAAUAAUUAUUCACUAGCUGUCCAACUGAAAUCAAAUUAGCAUAUUACUUAGGAGAAACAAAAUCAGUUUGGAAGGAAGGGUUAAUAUUACCAACAACAUUAAUGGGUCGGGGAUUCCCGUUUGAAAUUUGAAUUUAUUGAGGACAAUUAUAACUCCGAACGUUAAGAAAUGAUCCAGAUUGACCAGUCGUGAUUGGAAGCUCUUGAAUCAACAAACCAAGUAGAUGUGAAUGAGACCGUCUUACCAUUACCUUGAAGGCAAAAUGCCAAAAAAGCUAAGAUAAUCAUCUAUUGGAUCAUCUCAGGAGAGGGGACAACUUAACUAGCAAAGCUACAAUAGAUGUAGAUUGUGCCAUGGGUUUAGCUUGGACAGUAGCUUGAAAGGCAUGUGCUUACUGAUUUUAAAGACGAAUGAGGCAUGCUUUGAUGAUAUGCCUCGAUUUCUUGCAAUAAUUACAAUAUGGCUUGAGUAGUUGGUGGCAAUAUGGAUUUGACCUUUUCCUCUUCCUCCUUGGGCUACAUAGGCGACAUUCACUAUCUUAAAAUAUGGCCUCUCUUGUCCCAUUCUUGCAUGAGUAGUCAAUCUCUGUUCUUCCUGCGACAACUCUGCAAGGCAAACAUCAAUUUCAAUUUAAUAACCUAGCUCGUGUAGCCUCAUAUUUUGCCUUCAAUUUCAUCAUAAAUUAAUCACAUCUACUUCCUCAUAGAUUGUCUGAAGUGCAGACAGCGCCACUUUAGGUACCUUGGCAUGUAAAUUUUCAAAAAUCUGCUCUGCAAGUUCAAGAAACUGGCAUAAUAUUGUUCUAUAAAAAGAUGACCUUGAUUUAUAUUUACUAUCUCCAAUUUCAACUGAAACUACAUGCAUUGUUAUCUUGAUUAUGUAUUCGGCCUAGAUAUUUCCACAUCUCUUUAGUAGUAGAAGACCAAGUCGUUCACCAAAUGUGGUUCUAUGGAGCCUAACAGCCGAAAGACAAUGCGUACAUCGUUUGCUUCCCAUGUAUUAAGUUUCUUGGUGUCAUUGGGGUUGAAGAUGUCCCAUCAAUAUGCCCCGAACUCCUUUCCUUUCACAAACAUCUUAAACUGAAACCCUUAACUAUGAUAGUUCUUACAUUGAAAAGAAUAAUAGUAUUUUCACUGGACAUCGUGAAAACAAAAAUAACUAAAAAAAUGACCGUAAAAGAGCUUAGGAACUAAUUAACAACGAAGAGUAAUCGUGGUAAUAAGAGGGUAUUUGAUCAUUUAUGCAAUUACUAAAGUGAAGGGGCCUAUUGGAAUAUAUGGCCAAUUGGCAUCCUUAUUGAUUUAUUAAGGAGUUUUCAUUUGUAUCUACUCAUUUAUAUAACAACCUAUAGAAAUCCUUAGUAUGCUUGAGUCUUUAGCUUGAGUUAAAGCUAUAGUUGCUUUAUAGAACAAACUUGGAGAGAGGAAAGUCUUACUUUUGUAGUCCGCUAUUUAUCUUUUGGAAAUAGAGUAGGGGGUUAUAUAGCUGAUCUCUUGAAUUAAUUCUCCUUGAGGGGGAUAGGGGGUCCUUUUCAAUGUUAAUGACAUAUACUCUACUUAAGUUAAUGAUAAAGAAAUUAUCUUUUGAAUCUUUGAUGACUAUAUUAUGAUUUCCUUUCCAAUAGAUAAUGAAUAACCAGGUGUUCUUUUCUUGUCAAAUUGCUAGCUUUGAAACCUAUCUUCUUGUCUCUGUCCAUUUCCAUAGAAAUUAUGAUGGUACUCGGUUCCUUCCUCACAUAUCUUAGAAUCCUUUUUGCAAUUUUGCAAAAAAAAUAAAAAAUAAAAAUUGAUUGACGCGCGAAUGCGGAAAACUGAUUCUUGAUCAAUAAAUUUAUUGGUUCUUAAAAAAACUAUUAUCAGACGAAAAGAAUUGGAAAAAAUUCUAGUUCUGUUAUUUCUUAUUCAAUGAUCAAUCGAUUACAAUGACUAACGACUUUAGCUUUUGAACAUAUUAUUAGGAAGUUCAAAAUUCAAGAAGUUUGAAGGACAAGGACAACAAGAUAAAAGACAAUAGAAUUCUUUAAAUAAAUUAAAAGGGAACAUAGAGACAUAAAUCAACUUAAAGAAUGUUGGAACGUGUAAAUUAGUCAUUAUUGUACUGAGAUCUUGUGACUUGUCAUUGGUUCAAAAUAUGAUUUCGUUUCUUAAAGAAAAUGAACAAUCAAAUGUGUUUUUUUAUUUUUAUUUAUUUAUUUUUUCCCUCUCUAGAACUGGUUUGAUACCAAUUAUUGAAAUCAAUCAACUAAUUGUCUUUGUUCUUUACGGAUAGAGUUUCAUAGGUCUUAGUUCCUUUCAAUAUCUUAAUUUUUAUGCUGUUGUAAAAUGAAAUUUGUUAGACGCACACUAAGCCUUGGGAUUAUGUUUACAACACGAGUUAAAUGAGUCACUUCACAAGUUUUAUAUAGUCUUAUUAAUAUUCCUUUUACAAUUAUUUGUUCCGAGUCUUUCAUUCAGAUCCUAUACACGUGGGUUUCCAUACAGACAUAUGGAACUUUUUAUAAAUUUGUGAAAUCCUUUUCUUGAGAAUAUGGAGCUGUGGUUCUUGCUUCACUUGAAUGCAUAGACAAUAUCUCAAUACCCCAAUUGUGUCAUCUUAAACUGGUGCUUCCAUCACGACUUCUACAAUAUCUCAUAUAGUUUCCUGAUUGGUUCUGAUAUAAUUAAGAUCAUCAAUUUAGGUACACACAAAUCAUGAGCAUUUUGGGUUUUAACACGGGAUUGAUUAGUAUGAUUUCUUCGAAAACCAAAAUUCUCAACAUUUUUUUGGUUAUUUUAAUCUUGAAAUGCUUGCUUCAAGCCAUACAAAACCAUUUCAUUCCUUAGGGGUUGAGAAUAUCGUUUCACUACUAGUGUGGCCUUCUCCUUUUGUAUGAGCCAUCUUCGUCAAGUUUGAUUUUAAAAAACCUAUAUUUAGCUUCUUUUUUUUAUCCUUUGGAUUGUUCAUAAGUUGCCGUGUCUAAUUUAUGUAUCAUUUUAGUCUACUCAUUCAUGGCCUUUUGCAAAUAUCAUUUUAGGUUUUCUUAAAGCAUUUAUCCAUAAUCUAGGUAUAGGUAGCAAUCCAUUCUCUAAUUCUUCUCAUUACCUCUCGUGGGGAAAUGAUCCCACAAAGAAAAGAACUGUACAACAUAAGAUAUAAAAGCAAAAUUGUAUUUAUAAACUUUUUACGAAGUUUUGAAGCAUGUCUAUUAAGUGUUUAUAAACAGUUUAAUUUAUAACUAGAUAGAAAUGAGUGGUAGAUAAGUGUAUAAUACUUGUUGUGGAAAAUCGAGUAAUUGCAGGAGAUUGGGAAUUAUUUUAGAAUAAUUGCUGUACCAUAUUUAAGUAUUUCCAUAAUUAGGUAGAAUUAUUAGUUUUCCUUGUUUAAGAGAUUAUUUCCCUUAUGUCCUUUCACUCGUUUGUAUAUAAAUACAAGAAUUUAAUGAUGAAUAAAAUAAAAUUCACACAAAAAAUUGUGUGAUUCAUCAUAUUCUUCAUGGUAUCAGAGCUCCGGGUUGAUUAUCCUAGCAACCCAUGACAAAAAAUAAUAAGGAUUCCUCCACCAUAGAAGUUUUCAGAGUGAAACGGAGGCCAUAUCUCGUAUGGGUUCUAACGACACUGAAAAUUCUUCCUUUCAACUCACUGUUGAAAAACUGAAUGGAAGAAAUUUUCGAGAGGGGCCCAGUCUAUAAAAUUAAUAGUCGAAGGCAAGGGAAAAAUCAGUUACCUCACUGGUAAGAGCAAGAAACCAAUAGAUGCAGCGCUUCUUCAAAAAUGGAAAUCGGAGAAUUCGCUGAUAACUACCUGGCUCGUUAAUUCCAUGAUACCGUCCAUAUGUAAAACUUACCUAUUCCUACCAACAGCUAAAGAAGCUUGGGAGGCAGUAAAGGAGACAUUUUGAUGGAGAAAACUCCGCACAAAUUUUUGAAAUAAAGACUCGAUUGUGGCAAACCAAGCAAGGUGAGAGAGAGGUCAUGGAUUAUUUCCUUGAAAUGACUAACCUAUGGCAAACUAAGCAUUGGUGACAGUGUUCGCUACAGGAAACAGGUCGAGAACAAAAAGGUUUUCGAAUUUCUCGCAGGCCUCAAUCGCGAGUUGGAUGAUGUCAGGAGUAGAAUAUUGAGCUGGCGACCAUUACCUACCACAUGAGAAGUGUUUGCCAAGGUUAGCAGGGAAGAAAAUCGUCGAAAAGUGAUGUUAAAGGCUUGCGACAAAGACACUAUAGUGGAAACAGCUAUGAUUUCGAAGAAUGGACUAAGGAGGCUGAGAUGGUAUGAAAAUUUCAAUGGACAGACUGGUAGAAAUGGGCCAGACGGGUCGGUUCAAAACAAAAAAGGUGGAUGGUUGAGAAGUUGCAUAAUGUGCCAGGUCCGUCUUCAAUAAAGGGACGUCCAUGGUGCGAACACUGUCGUAAACCAGGACUCAAGGAAGAUACAUAUUGGGAUCUACACAGGAAGCCCAACGAUUGGAAACUAAGACAAAUUCUAAAAAUCGAGGAUAUCAAGCAUCAAUUGAUCCUUUUGAAAGUCCCAACGAAAAUAAUUCUACUACAGGAGGUGCAUUUAAUUCAGAACCACUGGAACAGUUGUAUCAAAUUUUCUCCAGUCUCCAAAAUUCAAGUUGUCAUUCCACCCACAACUCGUCAAGUUCACUUGCUCAUAAAGGUAACUAUCGAAGAGCUUUGACUACCUCUUCAAAGUACAAAAGUCCAUGGAUUAUUGAUUCAGGUGCGUCCGAUCACAUGAUGGACUCCUACCACCUCUUCUCUACAUAUACACCAUGUGUUGGUAAUAUUAAAGUCAAAAUUGUGGAUGUGUCACUUUCAACUAUUGCAGGAAAAGGGAGUAUCCAAAUAUCUGAAUCUGUUACACUAAACUUAGUACUACAUGUUCCCAAUUUAUCUUGUAACCUAUUAUCUGUUAGUCAGUUGACGAAAACUUCUAACUGUUUUGCUGAAUUUUUCCAUCCUAUUGUGGCUUUCAGGAACUAUCAUCGAGGAAAACGAUUGGUAGUGCUAGAGAGUAUGUUGAUCUCUAUUACUUCAAGGAAGCAGAUGUGAGUAAGCCAAGUCAAAUUGCAAUUUGUGAUUCUGCAUAUACCUCUAGGGAUAGUGAAGUUUUAUUAUGGCAUUAUGGAAUGGGUCAUCCUAAUAUGCAUUACCUAAAACGUGUACUUCCAAAUUCCAUAUUUUCGAAUAAAACUAACUUUGAACUUCAAUGUGAAAUCUGUGAACUAGCAAAGCAUCAACGUAGUGUAUUUCCAAAUUCCAUAUACAAGCCAUCUCUACCAUUCACUACAAUCUUAAGCGAUUUAUGGGGACCUUAACUAAUACCCAAUCGCACGUGUCGACACUGAACAACGAAAUAUGGGAUAGUCCAUCAAAGCUCACGUGUCGACACUGGCCAAAGAAACAGGGUAGCUGAACGGAAAAAUAGACACCUCUUUGAAGUUACUUGUGCCUUAGUGUUCACUACAAAUGUCAAAAUUCAAUUGGGGAGACGCUAUUCUAAGAUCUACUUACCUUAUCAAUUGAAUGCCUAGUCGCACACUUUACUUUAAAUCACCCCUCCAAAUAUUUCAGAAACUUUUCCCUACCUCAUGUCUACACUCUAACCCGCCUCUAAGGGUCUUCGGUUGCACAGCAUUUGUCCGUGUGCAUGGUCACAAUCGAAAUAAACUAGAACCUCGUGCGAGCAAAUGUGUAUUCAUUGGGUAUUCUUCUACUCAUAAAGGCUACAAAUGUUAUAAUGCAACCACAAAAGGUUAUUUGUAAAUUGUGAUGUCACAUUCUUUGAAAAAACACAUCGGUUCAUAGAUUUUGAUCUCUCCCCUACCUCAACAAAACAAGAAACCACCACUCCAUCAAACUCCGAUAUGCCAUCUAUAGAGUAAAACUUGAACUCAGCGAGAGAUGCAGGAGAACAAAGAAACAAGAAGAUAUUGGUUUACUUAAGGAAGCCUAAAUCAAAGGAGAACUUAUACCGGACGCAUCAAGAGUUGAAAUCGAUGAUAGCUCUAGAAUCCCAUGAGUGAAUAACCUGAUAUCAACCUAUCCACUGCACUCAGAAAAAAUUUCGAUAAUGUACUCUUCAUCCCAUCUCAAAAUUCAUAUCCUAUAAUGCUUUAUCUACAAAAUUUCGUGCGUUUACAGCUAACCUUGACAGUACAGCAAUUCCUAGAAACAUUCAGGAAGCUUUAAAAAUUCCUAAUUGGAGAAAAGUAGUGAUGGAAGAAAUGCAAGCUUUGCAAAAAAAUGAAACUUGGGAAGUGGAUCUAACGAGAGGAAAAAGACCCGUAUGAUGCAAAUUGGUGUUCACUGUGAAAUAUAAAGUAGAUGGGUCAAUAGAAAGAUGUCAAACUUGCCUUGUGGCAAAGGGAUACAUACAAACAUAGGGCAUAGAUUAUACAGAAACAUUUGCACUGGUAGCUAAGCUAAAUACAAUAUAGGUUCUUCUAUCUUUAGCAACCAACUUAGAUUGGCCUUUUCAGCAACUUGACAUAAAAAAUGCAUUUCUAAAUAGAGAAUUAGAAGAAAUUUUCAUGACACUACCACCAGGCUUCUCUUACAAGAAGAAAAUUGAGUCUGUAAACUCAAAAAGUCUCUAUAUGGCCUUAACCAGUCACCAAGGGCGUGGUUCGAUCGAUUUGCUAAGGUACUAAAAGGGUAGGGAUAUCAACAAGGACAGUUUGAUCACACUAUAUUCUUUCAACAGUCGAGAAGCAGAAGGAAAACAAUCUUAAUUGUAUACGUCGACGAUAUAAUCUUUGACCAGAGAUAACAUAGUUGAAAUGGAAAGACUAAAAAACAACUAACAGUUAAAUUUGAGGUAAAAGACCUAGGACAGAUGCGAUAUUUUCUGGAAAUGGAAGUUGUGAGAUCAAAAAGGGGUAUCAAUGUUUCACAACGGAAAUACAUUCAUGAUCUCCUAUCACAAACUGGUAUGCUUGGAUGUAAACCAAGCAACACACCAAUUGAUGCAGGAAGAGGUGGAAAACAUUGAAGAAUCAGUUGAGAAAGAAAGAUAUCUAUUUGUCUCAUACUAGGCCACAUAUUGCAUUUGCAGUAAGUGUGGUAAAUCAACAUAUACACUCACCAAAGGGAACACAUAUGGAAGCAGUGUAUAAAAUACUUAGGUAUCUAAAAGGUUCUUCAAGAAAAGGACUAUUUUCAAGAAAAAUGAGAGUAAAGGAGGAGGCAUUUACUGAUGCUAAUUGGGCUGGUCUUGCAGAAGAUAGGAGAUCAACAACUGGUUAUUGUAGCUAUGUAUGGGGUCACUUAGUGACUUGGAGAAGCAAGAAACAAAAUUUUGUAGCAAGGAGCAGUGCAGAAGCUGAAUUUAGAGCAGUGGCCUAAGGAAUCUAUGAAGGACUGUUGUUAAAGAAACUUUUGGAAGAAUUACAAGUUUGUGUAAAACUUCCAAUCAAACUUUACUACGACAACAAGGCAGCAAUCAAUAUCUCACUGAAUCCAGUAAAUACAAUCGAACCAAGCAUGUAAAAGUGGACAGGCACUUUAUUAAAGAAAAAGUCGAAAAUGGAGUGAUUUGCAUGACUUAUGUCCCUACAAAGGAGCAAAUAGCAGAUAUUUUCACCAAAGGACUACCUCGACAGAUUUUUGACGAAUUCGUUCGCAAGUUGGAUAUGAUCAAUAUCUACUAUCCGACUUGAGGGGAGUGGAAAAUCAAGUAAUUGUAGGGGAUUAGGAAGUAUUUUAGAAUAAUUGCUGUACCAUAUUUAAUUAUUUCCAUAAUUAGAUAGAAUUAUUAGUUUUCUUUGUUUAAGAGAUUAUUUUCCUUAUUUCCUUCCACUCGUUUGAAUAUAAAUACAUGAUUCAAUAAUGAAUAAAAUAAAAUUCACACAGAAAUUCGUGUGAUUCAUCAUAUUCUUCACUUGCGUAUCCCUCGAAAUGUAUGGAUAAAAAGUGAUUGAAUGUUUAUUUUACGUAGAUAAAAAGCAACUGGAAUGUAACAGUUUAUAAAUAUGAGCCAAACAUAGGCUUAGUCCUUCAGGAGUAGAAUUUGCUAUUGACGAAAUGGAAGAUCUAUGGUUUAAAUAUACAGAAUUUGAACUUGCAUGUUUUACUAGGGUUACAUAUCACUAUUUUAUAUCUGCAAGUUUUUCAAAUAUGAGAUAGACACGUGUUCUAUCUUUGCUACAUGUUUAGGCAUUCGUUUCAUGAAAGAUUUCAUUUUAGAUAUCAACUGUAUCGAUAGUAGGCCUUCGAUUCACAACUAUAAUAGAAAAAGGUACUUUGUUCUUUCACCUCAAGUUUUUCUAGUUUAUGCAAAUAACAUAAUGGAUAUUGAAAAAUUUUCGAAGUCAUUUUAAACCCUUUUUGUAGGAGAUCAAUUAAAGUGUUAAGUAGUUUUAUUAACAAUCUCUACAAUUUUUUUUAGAAAGUACUGCGUUGAUGCUUCUAUAUUUUAUUUCAACGACCUUUUCUAUUUAAGGCUUCUUCAAGCUAAUGAUUAUCUUUCAAUUUAUUUUCUUUGCAUUAAAUCUAGAAUUGCUCUUAGAAAAAUUCAACACCAUAAUCUAUUGUUAAAAAAUUUAAUUGAUGAUUGUUUUUUAUUUAGCAUAGGCCGUUGAGCCAAAAAAUUACAGGAAAGCUUUUAACUGUCGUUGAAGAAAACACCAUAAUUCUUCUAUAGUAAUCAACAAUAGAAGAACAUGCUGGUAUGUUUAUUUUGUUGUGGCGUUCUAAGUACAAAGAUAUGCAUGGAUAAUUUACGAUGAAGCUUUCAUUUUCUUGGCUGAAUUUGGGAAAGGAAAUCAUGCAACUUGCCAUAAACAAAUUCUUGACAAAAAAUUCCUCUAAACAUCGAUAGCUUACAUGUCCAUAUUUGUGAUAUCGUAGUAUUGAUUGGUUUUAAAGUUUCAAUUCUUAAAGAAUAAUCUUCUUUGAACAACAACUUUGGAAACGUCUUGUUGGGAGCCAUUAUAAUUGUUGCAAUGAACUUAUUGGUGAUGCUAACAUUGAAAAAAUGGUUAGUUUAACAUGUUUUAUUCCGAAGUUAAUUUAUCUUAUUUUAUUUACCAAGGAAAAGUAAUUAUAAGUUUCCAUUUACAAUUUUAGGUUUUUUUAGCAUAAAUUAGGGCUCAGGUUUCAUGAUAGCCUUGGUUGUUUUUGAAUUAUUGAAAAUUUUCUAUUUUAAUCAGUAUAUGAAAAUUCAAAUCAACAAAUUCAAAUGCUCAAUAUUCAUAUGCAAAUCUAUGAAUCUUUGAUGUCUAUUUUUUUUUUUUUUUUUUUUUUUUUUUUUGCAUUAUUUGAAAUCAAUAGAAACUAGAAGGUCAAAUGUGUUGUACAAGGUUUCGAUCUUAUUGGCAAAGCUAUUACUUCCACCCAUUUAGACAUGCUAUCCACUAUCAAGAUAUAUUGAUUCCCAAACAAUGGUGAAAAUGGUUCCAUGAACUUGAUACCCAAACAUCGAAUAACUAAACCUCAAGAAUGCUAUUUAGAAAUAUUUCAUUCUUCCGUGAGCUAUUUUAUGUCUUUCGGCAUCGUUCACACUUUUGAAAUCAUAUGUAUCCUGAAAUAAUAUAGGAGAAUAGAACUUUCGGUAAGAUUUUCUCGUUGGCCUUGGAUGCUCUAAAAUGCCUUGCAUGAUUCAAUGAAUGAUAGUAAGCUAAAAUCUGAUCCAUUUUUCCCUCCGACACGUAACGCCGAAUAAUCUAAUCUAGAAUUCGCUUGUAAAGAAUAGGAUCUUCCAAGAAGUAAUGCUUGAUGUUGCUAAAUAAGUCUUUUUUCUAAUGACUUGUGUAAUGCGGUUAUUGGCCAAAUAAUUUACAAAACUUGCAUGCAACGAGGUAGUUUUUAGCUGAAGAAGUAUCAUCUAAAUUACGAGGUAGCUUUUAGCUGAAGAAGUAUCAUCUAGGAAAACGUCAUUUACUUCAUCUGGCUCUACCAAUUUAAACUGAGAGAGAUGGCGAUACCAAAUUUUCAUAUCCUUUCUUAUCCCAAAUUUCGAGAUCAAACUCUUGCAAAAAAGGAUUCAUCGAAUAAGCCGCAACUUCACAUGAAACUAGAUAUUUCAAGCUGGAAUGAUCUGUAUAAACAAUCAUCUUGAAUCCAAAUAGAUAUAAAUGUAAUUUGCGAAAGGUGAAGACCAUUCCUAGAAGUUUCUUCUCAGUGGUAGCAUAGUCAAAUGUGUUUGAAUGAGUCCCUCGGGCAUAAUAAAUCACUUAAGAUAUGUCGUUUUUGCAUUGACCUAAUAUUGUCCUACUUGCAUAAUUGUUAGCAUCACACAUGAGCUCAAAGGUAGACUCCAAUUUGGUGCAACUAGAAUUGGUGCUAAUGUUUUCUUCAAAGUGUAGACUUCUCGAAAAAUUGAAAGGGGUAUCUUUGUUAAGUAGAUUGUACAAUGGCUUGGUGAUUUUGGACUUUUCCAAAAUCAGUGAACCUUACAUGUCCUAUGGAACUCUGAAUGCCCUUAAUUGAUGUUGGUGGAGAAAGUUUCUCGAUCACAUGUAUCUUAUCUAUGUCAACCUCUGUACCUUGGACAAAAUGUAAUGUCCUAAUAUAAUUCCCUUUUGAACAAUGAAUUAAUAAUUUUCCAGUUCAUUACAAGGUUAGUUUCUCUACAUCGCUGCAAGGAUGAGCUCAAGUGCUUCAAGCACUAUUGAACGAUGACAUAAACAUCAAGAAAUCAUCCAUGAAUUACUUAUGUAUAAUUCUACACCAUGAUUGAGAAAAUAGAUAUCAUACAAUGCUAAAAUGUAAUUGCAUGUGCAUAAUCUAAAUGACAUACUUAGGUGUGCAAAUUUCCAUAAUGGUAAAUGAAUUACUCUUGGGCGAUGGGAAUUUGAUUAUAACCGGAAUAACAAUCCAGAAAAUAGUGGUAAGAAUGAUUGGUGAGCGUUUUCAACAUCUAGUCGAUAAAAGGAAGAAGAAAGUGAUCCUUGUUGUAAUGUUAAGUUUGUGAUAAUCAAUGUAAACUCGUAACCUUGUAAAUGUUCGCUUUGGAAUGAGCUCGUUAUUUUCAUUUGGCAUCGCUAUAAUUUCCUUAAAUUGUUAGGCACUACGCGUACCGUAUUGACCUACGCACUAUCUGAGAUCAGAUAUAUAAUAAUGACAGCCAAUAAUUACAAUACUUCUUCCACCAUCUCUUGCAUCUCUGAAUUCAACAAAUGUUGAUGCUCAAUUGAAGCCUUGUAAUCAUCCUCCAUGAAAAUCUUAUGCAUACAUAGUGAAGGAUUGAUAACUAGUAUAGCCCACCAAAUAGCAAUUUUAUGAUACCUAAGCACCUCGAAUCAAUUUAUCUUCAUCUAUAUCACAAAGAGAGUUAGCAAUGAUAACUAGUAGUAUAGAUUCUCCCUAAGUAGGCAUAUCACAGAUGAUUUGACAAUUGCUUCAAGUCAAGGGUAUAGGUUAUAAAAUGGAUAUCCAGGGUUUUGUGGAAACCCUUGAUAAGUUCUAAAAAAUGUGGGUCCCUCUUCAACAGAGUGUGCCUUCAACAAUCGAACACAAUCUUCGAUUCCUUAAAUAAGAUGGUGUGGAUUGAGAAUAAACAAGGUAGACCUUGAACAGUUCUUAAAGCUGAUCAUGAUUGAAUAUGUCUGCUACAACCUUAUCCAUCACAUCAAUUUGAAAACAAUUGUCAGAUUUUGUUGGAUAAUAAAUAUGCUUGAAGACAUUAAUUACCACAUGCUCCUUAUUUAACCUCAAAAAAAGUUUAAUCUUUUGCACAUCAAUGAGAGGUCUACUAGUAUCCAUAAUUAGACAUCCCAAAAUGAAUGGAACAUCUUUGUCUUCUUUCAUGUCUAGGAUGAUAAUAUCAAUUGGAAAAAUAAACUCGUCAACUUUUACAAACUUAUCUUCAAUUAUUCCACGAUGGGUUUGAUUGACCUGUUGGCAAGUUGCAAUGCAACUGUUGUUGCCUUUGCUUUCUUAAACCUAGCUUCCUAGACAUAGAAGAGGCAUUAAGUUAAUGCAAGUACCAAGAUGUACAAAGCUUUAUCAAAGUAGUUAUCUUAAUAGUACAAGGAAUAAUGAAACUCCUUGGAUCAUUUAAGCUGUGGAGGUAGCUUAUUCUGCAAUAUAACACUUCUUUCAUUUGCCAACACCAUCGUCUUAUUAGUUUCCAACUUCCUUUUGUUUGAUAAGAUGCCCUUCAUGAAUUUUACAGAGCUGGACAUAUGUGUUAAGGCGUCGACAAAUGGUAUGUUGAUGUUUAGCUUUUUAAGCACCUCCAAAGCCUUAGCAAAUUGCUUGUCGAGCUUGUGUUUCUACAGCCUUUUGAGGGAAUGGUAUCGGAGGCACAUAUGCUCAAUGGGAAAGAUUUCCUUAACUUGUGAGGUGCCUGAAUUCUUUUCUAGAAUUACUUCUUUGUCAAUGGUAGCUAUCUUUUCAUGAGAAGCAACAUGCCUCUUGAUAUGAAUCUCUACAACUUAACUCCACUUCUUGUAGUGGUAGCCUUCACAUGUUCUUUAGGGUUGGUUUUAGUAUUAUUUAGUAAAGUGCCAUGUAUCAUUUUUGAUAGUGCGGUUUCCAUGUGUCCUACUUGAGUCAUGGAUUCUUUAUAGAUGACUGUUGGUGCUGCAAUGUGUUGUUAGCUUUUGUGAUAUACUGAGUGAUUAUUUCUUCCAACGAAGGCUUUUUCUCAUGCUGAUGCUAGAACUUUGGUAGUUUGCAUAGAUUGUGAUUUCCUUGAAGCUAAUGGCAUAGGAUGCUAUGGAACAAUUAUAGGAGAAGGGGAAAGGGGAAAGGAAGGAGGAGAAGAAGUGAGAAGGGGAAAAAGAGAGGAAAGGGAAAGAAUAGAGAGAAAUUGGCGAAGAAUAUCAGUUUAUUUUAUCAUCAAAAUUGUCCGUAUUACAUUGCAUAAGACCCCUUUAAAUAAGGUUUCAAAGAUCCUAUUCUGAGUAGGAAACAUAUAAUAAAAGAUAUUAAAUCAAACCCUUAAUUAUGUUUCCUAAAAUAAAUACCAAAAUUGGGAAGUAAAUAUAUAAUUCUCUUAUAAUUUUCCAUCACCUAAUUGUUGUUCGUCAAGAAGUUGGGAAGUUUGUACAAAUUGUAUUAUGAAAGUUGUAGGGAUUAUUCUAUGCCAACAAGAAAGUUUUUUCGUAGCUAACUUCCUCAGAAUUUGAUGUGAAAGUAGUGGCCAAAGGAUAAUUAGAUGUGUAAUGAUUUACUCUAUAGCCCUCAGAAAUCAAAAUAAGAUUGUGCACCAUGUACAUUGAGUAAGGCUAUUCAUCUUCUUCGUCAGAGCUUCCAUCUGAGAAAAUAAUACCGAAGUUCCAUCAAGACAUGAAUUAACUGCAAAUUGACUGACUUGAAGCAACUUUGCAUUGAAGUAUUAGACCUGAAGUCCUUUAUUGAUGUCAUGAUUCAAGCACUUCAGCAGUAGCUCAUCAAAUCUCUUACACUUCAUGAAAGAUCUUCAAGUCAAGUUGCCUAAAUAUGGAUAUGUCACGCUUCAGUUUGGCAACUUUAGUGGUGAAAAUUACUUCUUGUUGAACUUUUCAACCAAAUAUUUCUAUCAACUACAAUUACAACCAGUUGAGGGGAUCAAACUUUAUUUUCUAUUAUUCUCUCUUCUUGCUCGUUAUCCCUUGCUCCUCUCUGUUCCUUUCUUCGUUGUCUGAAAGUUCUCUCGAUCUCGAGAUCAAAUGGUGGUCAAGAUCUUUAAAAUUUUACACGUGUCGAUAUACAAGCACUUGAAAAUUAACCCCAAAAAAAAAAAAAAGAAAAAGAAAACAAGAAUUCGAUUGUAAUCAAGAAUUAAUGAAAUUCAAACUAAAUAUAUAAAAUUCUCGAUAAUAACACCAAAACUUGUUUGAUGGAAAUCUUGCAAGUGUAUAAGUUCAUUGACAAGUAAAUGUUAAAACUGAGUAAAAAGCAUCAUUCCUAUGAGGAUUUUAUCUAACAAUCUCUUUUGAGUAAAAUUAAACUUAUUUUAGAAAUUAUAUUCACUAGCCAGAUUAUUCAUAUGUUGCAUAAAAUAUAGACAAUUAAUUCUAACAUAUAUGGGACCUUAUGUUGAUUGUCAAGUAUGAGUUGUACUUGCAUUGAAUCUCCUGAAAACAAGAUAAGCCUAAAAUACGUUUAAAAGUUGAUCAUUCAUUAAAAUGAAAAUCUAAACUUUGACAUCAAUCAGUCGACACAAGUUGACAAUAAAACGCAGUUUCGAUUAAAACGUCAACUAAUGAUUCAAGUAUUUAGCCUAUCAUGCUAAUAAUAUAAAACAUAUAAUUAAUUGUAUAAAUCACCCAAAAUAUUAAAUUGCAAAGAGAAGGAUGAAAAUGAAUUUUUGUCUCCUUUUAAUUUCAUCAAUGGAUUCUUUAGUAAAUCACUAUCUUCUUGCUUGAAAUCUUCAAUUCUCGAGCCACAAAUUUUGAAAGUAUGAUGUGCUUGUGUAUUCUUUCUAUGUUGCUCUCUUCUCUAAGUUUCGAGACUAACAAUGUAAUCGUAUAGUAGGGCAACUUGCGAGGGCAUGUUUAUGUGUAUGUACUUGUAGGAUCUACAAGUUCGUGCCUUGCGUUCAUAUGGGUGUUUCCUACACGAUUGCAAGGCACCUACUUUUGCCCAAGUUUAUCUUGGUACCUGGAUUCACUUGUUCUUGCAGCUCAAGUCCCUUCCUUAAUUGUAUUUUUGGCCUUGUAUCUUUCAGUCUCAACAAUUUGAUCCCCAUCUUCUAUAGUUUGUUCGGUUUAGGUCCAUUUUGAUUCGCUUUUUGCUCCUUUUCUCCAUAAAUCAUUCAACAUAUAGAGUUUCUCCUAAAACAAUCAAUGUACAAAGAAAAUUUAGUGUAAAUUCAAUAAAAGCACUCCCAAACAUCUGCUUUUGAUGGCCCAAACAAGUAUAGAAUUACAAUUAUUACCUAUGUAAAUGAAUUGUGCAUGUGUUAGGCUUUUAUGGAAAAUUAGAAAGAAAAAUCUGCUUACACGUGAAUUGGCGUGCCGAAGAAAAUAUUUGAAUAAUAUACAUUUAACCCUAUCUAAUAGGUUGAGUUUUUAAAUCAGGUGGUUCUACGUAAGUGAUUAUAAUAUAUUUUCAUAAAAUAAUAUUCAAAUAACAUUUUGUGCUGCACUUGUUUUUUCUUUUAGAAUUGCAAUGUUGCAUCUUGCGUUUUCUAUUUCCAUACAACCUACUUGCUACUCUUCAUUAAUAACAAGAGAUGAACGUGGAAUAGAAGCAUUGUCAUAUUUUCCAUUGGUACUUGAAUAGUUACUUUGAUUUAUCUUUACCAUAAUAAAAACAUCUUUUUGAAGCCCAUAUGUUGGAAAGGAUAUGAUACCCCAUAUAGGAUUUAUCCCCUGUUUGGCCCCCAUUUUUUGAAAAUGAAAUGCGUGGAAUACUUUUUUUUUUUUUUUUUUUGUUGAAAAAUGAGUGGUUAAAAAAGAAGGAAAAUUUUUCGAUUUACGUAUAAUAUUAUUUUAUGGAAGAUUGUGAGGUUGAAAAUAGGAGAGAAAAAAUAGAAUGUAAUGGAAUUGAAAUUAAUGGAGGCCAAACAGGGGCUUAGUAUUACAAGCCAUGUACCUGAUAUGUAGAUUCCUAUGGGCUGUGGCUCUAGUACAAGAAAAUUUUUUCCCUCUUGGUAUAAGCUUCUUUGAAUUAUUCCAGGGUAUGUAAAUAAACUCUAUAAUUAAAUUGUUGAUUAAUCAGGCCUUGAGUUUGCUCCCCAGUGUUACCUGUUCGAGUUCUCUCAGGGCCAUUGAGGUUAAUAUCCAUUGUAAACUUUAGGGUCCAGUGGAAUUAGUCGAGGUGCUCUUAAGCUGGCCUGACACCCAUGAUCAUCAGAAAAAAAUAGAGAUAGCUACCACUUUUAUGGACGUGGUUACUUUUAUCCUUUGUCUUUGGCCAUUUCAGCACUUUUUCUCAUCAAAAUUACUCAUAGGGCAUCUGUAGAAAUAUAGCGCUUGUUUGAGAUUUAUUGCAAAAACCCAUUUCCAUUUCAAAUUUAGGGACCUUAUUCUUUGUAUAUGUUGGGAAAGGAGGAAAUGUAUUUGACUUAUCCAUCAUGAACUUUAAUUUUUCAUUCUUUCAUUCAAAAUUUAAACACCCCCCCAACCCACAAUUAUUCUUUGAAAAAUAAGUGCUAGCAUGAAGUGAGGGUUAAAUGGGAAAAUUGAAUUUCAAUGGGUCAUUGGUUCUUUUCUUCAUUCUGUCCCAUGUCCUUUGUACCAUGAAUUUUUAAAUAUUAAAAUAGUAUCCCAAAAUGUUAUUUGUUAUUAAAAUGUGAUUUUAAUGAGCUUCAAACAGGCACAUAAUGACAUGGAUUGCAAAGCACAGCAUUGUUGAUUGCUGUUAUUACAAUUGGAAAGGACUUCAUCAACUCGCAACUUGCCAGAGUUUUAUCUAUUUUUAGAACAUUGAACAUAAAUAGUGAUCACCAAUUUGAUUUCGAACAAGUUCAUCCCAGAAUAAGGUGUGCAAACAUGAAAAUAUGCUAAAACAAGGAGGAAGAUUACAUGCUAAUUGAAGUCACUUAUUCGUAAUCAUGGUUCUGGAAUUACCAGAAAGAAGCUCUUCAUGGUUACUCACAUUAAAUAUCUAUAAAUAAAGAAGGAAAACUAUGAUCAUACUAAUAUAGAGGUGUUUGUUAAUAAUCAUCCCAAGAUGGAGUCAAAUUUAAAUCUUGUAUUCUUGCAGUUCAAUUUGCUUCUCAUAUUUUAACUUUUAGGUUACACAAUUUCCUGAAGCCGCUUUCAUUGAAUCUGAUCAUAGCCCUGCAAGCUCUGAUGAACUUUAGCUUUCUGUGCUCAUCUUCUAGAUAGAUGAACUUUGAACAUUAUACUUGUUAGAUUUCUAUAUGUAAAUAAAUGGUGAAAUUUUUGUGAGAUAUGUUCAUAUCAGGUGCAAAUGUCUGAUGGAGCACCAUGAAAAGGAAGUUGCUUGUUUUUCUGUUUUUUGAAUGAACCUCAUCCUCUUUUCUCUUUUAUAAUAUGUUUUCUUUCUCUACGUAUAUGUUCAUGGAGAGGAGAAAUCUUAGAACUGCAAUUGCGAAGAUCAUCUUGAAUGCCUCCAUUAGUUUUCUCCUUCUUUCACAUCUUCAAACUACUUGUAAAGGGCAAGUAUUGAUAAGAGUUAAUUUUGUCAACUUAGGCUAAAGUACUGGUCCAUAACACAUAUUUUAGGUUCAUAUAUCAUAUAAAUGAUUAUCAACGUCUCGUAAGUCGUUCUUCUGUGUUUUACGGGUUGUAUCUCUUUUGAAAUCUCUACUUGUGAUACCUAAAUUAUCUUGAGUUAAUACAUCCAAAUAAUUUUAGAACUUAAAAGAAAAUAAUGCUAGAACUUCUCCACCUUAUUUAUAUGUCCAGUUAAUCUAGAACUAUGAAUCCACAAGGAGUUGGAGCUUUUCAAUUAAUUAAGGAGAACUUCCAGUGUUAUAAGGAACCAAAGCUCGUGAGGAAUUUUGACAGUUAUAACUAUAAUUUACCUGCUCAAGUGUCAUCAUUUUUUGAAUUUACAAUACUUUUACAUUAUCUUUUUUUCGAUGUUUUUACUUUUCAAUAAGAAAAUAUAAACCUUAAGUAACUGAGGAAUUUGAUUAACCUUGUUCCAUUUAACCUUAUAUGUUAAACAUGUGUUUAUUAAUAUUUCUAACAAUUUUUGAUGUAUGGACAUAUGCUUUUUACUUAUAUGCACUUGAAUUUCCAACAUGACCUAAUAAGUAAUCAGUUUAUUUCUUUUUCUUUUAUUCAUUUUAUUUAAGCUCAUUGCCAUCUGCUUAUAUAUGUUUCAUUCUUCUCUUUCAGCACAGCAAGGAACUUGAGCCAUCAACUGGAUAAUCAUACUAUUGUUCCUGUAAUUCAACUACGACCAUUCUAUAUAUUUGCCAUUCUUGUUUCUAGCUGACCAAGCUCUGACUUGCCUUCAUAUUGCAUCCUUUUUCUGUGUAAGAUCCUAGUCCUAUUAUUAUUCAGUUAUCAGUUUCCUUUUCUUUUUUUUCUUUUUUUUUUUCUUUUUUUAAUAUAAUAUAUCCUGAUGUCUUUAAAUUACUAUUAUUACUAAAUCUGAGUAAAUAAUCACAUCUUUAUCUUCUUGGAUCGAUGCUUAUCUUCUUGUGCCAUUCAUUUUUUCUCUGGGUUUAAUUAUGUUGGAAGCAUCUGCCCGGAACAGUGAAUCUGAAUGGUUAUGUUGCAACCAAUGAGUACUAUUCUCUUAAGGGACUUUAAGGUCUUGACACUUCACUAUUAAGCUGUACUUUUAAAUGCAGUAUUCUCACUGCAAAUGUUGGUUAGAUGCGUUAAUUGUUGUUCAUUUAUCUAAGGAGAAAUCAAUUUUAAUGAUCAAGUUGCCAGAGGCAAUAUUUUUUUUUCAUUUUCUUUUCCCCUGCUUUUUGUAUGAGAAGCUGCUGAACUGAUGUUUUCUAUCAUAGUUCAGCAUAUCAACUGUCUCCUCCAAAUUGCUUUGACAUUUAGAUUUUUGCAAAAUUAGUUUGUUCUUACUAGCAUGUAACUCGAUUUUCAAAAUGGAAUACAACAAAUGUAUUACGUUUAUGAAUUUAGUUUUGCUUUGUUCUUACAGUAUUACUGCAGGUUAGGCUAAUGUCUAUUUAUUUGAAAUUCUCAAAGUCUUUAGAUUCUUUCCCUCUCUCCCAAGUUUAACUAACUGAUGGUUUUAUUGAACCCAUUUCCGCCCAAACAAUAAAAAAUUAGACCUACUUGUUUUUGGCCCACAGUUACUUAUAUAGUUCACAAAAAAAUUUCAAUGUAGUGAAUGUUAUCUGAAAUAGACACUUUUGAUUGAUGGCUUAAAUAAUGUAUAAAAUGUUUCCAAUGUGCCAGAUGAGCCCUAUUCACGAACUUUGCAGCUUGUGUCCUGAAUCUCAUAAAAUUGAAGUUUCCGAGGCCACCAGAUUAUCUUUAUAUUGUCAUAUCAUGUGUUCUUGUCAUGCUUUGAAACUGGUAAUUUCUUUAGAAACUAUAUGAAUUGCUUCACUUUUGAAUCAUAUUUUCUGUUAUGACAUUGCUCUUGACUGGCAUUUAUUUUUAUCUAGUAUCUGGUAGUAGUAUAUUUCUGUGUACGUAGUUCUUCCAAGCAAACUCAUCAAAUCAAACCCGGAGUUUAAAUAGAUAAAUAAGUAUUGGAACAUCCAGUAAGAUAUGAGACAUGCAGUGCCAAACAUAUUCUUUUAUUUAUUAUCACAAUGACCUAGAAAGCUGUAUCUAGUUAGAUUUACCUCAUAUAAUGAAUUCGGCAACUGGGCAAUGCCAAAUAUUAAGCAUUUUUUCCUGAAUAGCUGUGGUUCUUAUACCACUUUUAGCAUUUAACGAAAAGCUGUAACAAUGGUGCCUUUCACCAUUAACAGAUUACUUCACACCUUUGAAUAGUCUGCCUCUCUUUGUUAUUGCAUUUCUAGCCUGCUGCAUUUUUCCCACCAAAGCAAGUGUAGAAUCAAUAUAGUGUUGAAACUAUGUUUUUUAAAGUACUUUAAUCAUGGGGGAUAGACAAUUACCCCAAUGAUGUAAUUGGUGUCUCCAGGUUCUGCUGUUGUGGCUGGCAAAGCUGGAGACAAACAGGUUCGUGUGGGUCGUCUCUGAUGCUUAAACUAUUAGUACGAAGUGCAUUACUGUUUGUUCCAGUCACAUCCUUAGUUCCAUAAACCUGAACAUCAAGCAUUCUGCUGAGCAACCUAUUAUAGUUCUUCUAUAAACAGUGCUCCAAAUAAAGUGCUUUGUUUCACUGAACAUUUGGAAACUUAUUAAUUUACACUGCUACCUUAUUAUACAAUGCCAUGUUUUCUUGUUGAAUGAGGUUUAACUUCUUGCACAGUUCCACAUUUUCUUGGUGGAUGAGGUUUCUCUGCAACAAAAUCAUGAAAUUUAGCUACUAGAAGGAACAUUUUGAAAUAUAAUGGAAGAUGAUGGUGCAGUUUUUUAAGUUUGACCUUUUGACUCAGUUCUUCUAUCUCCGAAAUUAAAACUUGGUCCUGCAAAGAUAUGAAAAAUAUUGUCAAUAAUUUAUUUGAUAUGUGCAGAAUUAAGGAUUCACAUUUUAAAGAAGAUUAAAAUUUCAAACCUUUCUCAUACGGACACCUCGGAGACUCGUCUCCAGCUGGUUCUCAAGGUUCUGUAGAUCUUUGAUACUUAACUUAGAAAGAUCUUGUCCCAUCAAUUGACUGUAUGAUUAUGGGAAUUGUAUAUCAGGUUAUCUAGUGUUAAUGAAUGCGCACACAUACACACAUAUACAAAUGUAUGUGCUUGUGUAUAAUGCGUACUAAUAAUAAAUGAAGAACUUAAUUAACAGGGAGAAUAAUUACAGAAGUAAGACAAGGACUCAGGUCGUUUAAAAGAAAGAAAAAGAAAAAGAAAAAGAAAAAUCAGAGAAUUGAAUUGUUCCAACUGCGGAGGUAAUCUAUUAACACUCCCCAAGCUUUAGCCCAUAAAGAUGAGAAAACCACAACUCUAUCCCUUUUAUGAGGAAAUAUUAGGCCAUUAGCAUAUCAUUGCCUUGUUCUUUGAAACUGCUAUUAAAAGAACAUAAGAUUUGAAAGUAAUUAACUGGUUAGUUCUUACUCUUCGCAGAAUAUUUCAGCCUACGAGAUAUCUAGCGUACAUUAAAUUGAAAGCUUGAGAUAAUAAAGAAUUGUACAUCUGCUUCAAAAUGAAGUUUUUCCUUCCUAAUGAUGACAUUUGACAUUGAUUUUGGGGUGAUUUAAAGGAUAUAAAAAGCCAAAUCAUAUGGUUUUCUCAUGAUGAGGACCAAAGAGUCUUGGUUCAUAGCUAUGAGAUUACAAAAAGGGAGAGGAAUUACUUUGACAAGUUAUUUAAUGAAUGGCAUUGCGGAUAUUGGAAUUUUUGGAACUCGAGCAAAGGAAAGAAUGUUACUUUUUCUAUAAGAUUCAAGUUUUGGAUGGAAGAAUUCAAGAAGAGGAUGACGAUGAGAAUCACAAUUGGACCAUAUUGUAUUCUUAUAGAAGUUGGAGACCGUUUCGAGGGCUGUUGUAAGUGGCUUAUUGGGGGGGAGGGGGACAGCAUAUUGGGUAUCAGUUUGUAUGGUCAGUGGGGUCUUCAGGAGGGGUGUUAAUUAUGUUGUAUACUAUAGUCUUUCAGUUGGAGGAGGUUAGUGAAGGGCUAUUUUCCCUAUCCCUUUCAUUUACAAAUAUUGGGGAUAGAUUUCGUUGGAUGUUCAUAGGAGUUUAUGGGCCUAUUGUCGAUGAAAGUAGAGGCGGAUUGUGGGAUGAAUUGACAGGUAUGAUGGGUUGGUGGAACCUCCCAACGUGCAUAGGGGGUGACUUUAAUGUGGUCCGCUUUCCUACUGAAAGGUCUAGCGGCGGGAGGCUAACAGGGGCUAUGAAGGACUUCUCAGAUUUUAUCAGGGAGAAUAUGUUGGUGGAUAUACCUUUGAUGGGGGGAGAUUUUACUUGGUCAUCUAAUCGAGAACUACCUGUUCAUUCUAGAAUAGAUCGGUUCUUGAUUAGUGUGGAGUGGGAGGCUAAGUACCCGGACGUCGCUCUGAGGAGACUAGGGAGGGUGUAUUCAGAUCAUUUCCUAAUUUCAUUAUCUGGGGAUGUGGGAUAUAGCGGGAGAAGGCCUUUUAGGUUUGAAAAGAUGUGGCUUAAAGUGGACGGUUUUGGGGAGCGAGUACGGACUUGGUGGGCCUCUUACAAGUUCAGGGGGUCUCCCAGUUAUGUGUUGGACCAAAAAUUAAAGGCUUUAAAAGGAGACCUCAAAAGGUGGAAUGAGGAGGAGGUGGGGGAUGUUAACUGGCGUAAAAAUCAAUACACCUCAGAAAUAGAGGAAUUGAAUAGGAAGGAGAAAAGUCGAGGAUUGGGAGGGGACGAGAGGGAGCGACGUCAAGAAUUGAGGGGUGAGCUGGAGAGGUUGGUGGAGAUGGAAGAGAUUUCUUUGCGCCAGAAAUCUAGGGUCAAGUGGUUGAGAGAUACAUAGUUUUUCCAUAGGGUGGCCAUUUCCAACAGGCGCAACAAUCGUAUCUCUAUGCUGUGGAUGGGGUAACUUAUGAGGACCCACAAGAUAUUGGUACCCAAAUGGUGAGUUUCUUCCAAAACCUUUAUAAGGAGCAGUUUGAUUGGAGGCCAGAGCUUGAGGGGCUAGAGUUUUCCACUAUUUCUGAGGAGGAUGUCAGUUGGUUAGAAAGACCAUUUGGGGAGGACGAGAUUAGGGAGGUGGUGUUCAGUAUAAAUGAUGACAAGGCCCCAGGACCGGACGGAUUCUCCUUCACAUUCUACAAGGCUUGUUGGGAUGUAAUACGAUCAGACAUUGUGGAUGUUUUUGCUUACUUUUUUCAGUGUGGUAGAUUCUUGAAAAGCUCUAAUACCACAUUUAUUGUGCUAAUCCCAAAAAAAUCAGGGGCGACAGACAGUAAGGACUUUCGACCUAUUACUCUAGUAAGUGGGGUGUAUAAGAUUAUUGCAAAGGUUUUGGCUAAUAGAUUAAAGGAGGUGCUGGGAAAAGUGGUAUCUAACUAUCAGAAUGCUUUUGUCAAAGGGCAACAGAUCUUGGACUCCGUUCUCAUAGCAAAUGAAUGCAUUGAUUCAAGACUACGUCAAGGGGCUCCAAGGAUGCUAUGUAAACUUGAUAUUCAAAAGGCCUAUGAUCACGUGAACUGGGUUUCCCAUUGUAUAUGCUCAGGCGAUGUGGUUCCGGGGCCAAGUAGUGGCAGUGGAUUCAAUUUUGUAUUUAUACUGUCUCUUUUUCAGUUCUGGUAAACAGCACUCUUGAAGGUCAUUUUCGGAGUAGUAGGGGAUUGCGACAAGGGGAUCCUUUGUCUCCAUUACUGUUUAUUAUUGUAAUCGAGGCAUUCAGUAAAAUGGUUGAAAAGGCUGUGGGGGAAAGUUUGUUAAAGGGCUUUAGGAUUGGUCAACUGCAGAUAUCUCAUUUGCUAUUUGCAGAUGAUACUCUGAUCUUUUGUGACGCAGACGUUGAGCACUUUAGGAACUUGCAUCAUUUGCUUUUGUGCUUCAAAGCCGUAUCUGGAAUGAAGAUAAAUUUGGGAAAAUCUGAAGUCAUCACUGUUGGAGAGGUCAAUAAUGUGGAAAGGAUGGCUGCUACAUAACUUGGGAUCCCAUUAGGAGCAAGGUUCAAAAGUAAACACAUCUGGGACAGUAUAGUGGAAAGGGUGGAUAGGAGAUUAGCGGGUUGGAAGCGUAUGUACCUUUCAAAGAGAGGUCGCCUUACUCUUAUCAAGUCUACUCUCUCGAAUCUCCCCACUUAUUUCUUGUCUUUAUUUCCCAUUCAUGUUACAGUGGCUAAAAGACUAGGGAGGAUCCAAAGGGAGCUCCUUUGGGGAGGGUUAGGAGAGGAGGAAAUUUCAUUUGGUAAAUUGGGGUGCAGUUUGUUCUCCCACAAGGGUUGGAGGACUCGGAUUGAGGAGCCUUGUAUUGUUUAAUAACGCCUUGUUGGGUAAGUGGUUAUGGCGGUUUGGGGUGGAGAGGGAGAGUUUCUGGAGAGAUUAUAGAAGAGAAAUAUGGCAUUUUGGAGGGUGGAUGGUGUUCAGUUGAGAGUCGUGGUACCUACGGGGUGAGUUUAUGGCGGUAUAUUCGACGAAGGUGGAGUGACUUUCGGAAUAGAGUGACCUUCGGUGUGGGGAAUGGCAAUACUAUUAGCUUUUGGGAUGAUUGUUGGUGUACUGAUCAACCCUUAAGGGAGCGAUUUCAUUCUUCGUAUCGUAUUGCCGUGAUGUCAUAUGUUAUGGUGAAUGAUGUAUUAGAUACACACAACGGGAACAUCAGUUGGAACAUUAUUUUUGGGAGGACUACAAGAUUGGGAAGUGGAUGAGUACGCAGUGCUAUUGACCUCUUUGUAUGGAGUGCAUAUCAGGGUAGGAGAGAGUGACUGCAUCAAGUGAAUGUCGACAAGGGAUGAUAUUUUCUCAGUUAGCACUUAUUUUAAAUCCUUAUUGGUAUCUGCGGAGAAUUUAUUCCCUUGGAAGAAGGUAUGGAAGUGUAAACUGCCUCCAAGGGUGGCCUUUUUACUAUGGACGGUAGUGAGAGGACAGGUUUUAACGGCGGACAAUCUUCGAUUGAGGGGGUUUUAUAUUACAAAUUGGUGUCAUAUGUGCAGAAAGGAUGGGGAAACGGUUGACCAUUUGUUCCUGCGUUGUGAUGGCACCCGUUUGCUGUAGAAUGAUAUUUUGGCUUCUCAACAUAUGGAUUGGGUGAUGCCACGACGUAUGGAAGAUUUGUUGAAGGCAUGAAGGAGAAAGUUUCGUGACAAGGACAAUAAACUUGUUUGGGACCUUAUUCCAGACUGCAUUGGUUGGUGCGUGUGGAGAGAAAAAAAUGGGUGUCAUUUUGAUGAUCAAUAAAGACUUUAGAGCAGUUUAGAGAAUUAUUUUAUUUGACAUUCUAUAAUUAGUUUAAUGCUGUAGCUUCUAGUCACAUUGAUGGGUUGCCUAAUUUCAUGACGUUUAUUUCUUGUUUAAGUGUAUAAUACACUUCCUGUGUAUUAUCUUUUAAUUAAUAGAACAUUUGAUUACUUAUAAAAAAAGGGGUGGAAUUGUACUUAUGAAAUCUAGAAGAAUAAAAAGAUGCCGAAUAGGUGGAGAGAUAGUGUGGUAUGGUGCAUUUUAAUAAGAAUGAAGGAGAUAUUUAAAAUUGUACAAAUUAUAGAGGAAUUUAGGUCACAAGUCAUAUUUUAAAAUCGUAGGGUAGUGUGAUUGAACAAAGAUUAAGGUGGAAUUUAGGAGGUUUUGGAAGUUAGUUUGGCUUCGUGCUAACAAGAUCUACUAUGGAAGACAUUUACUUGCUUAGUAAAUUUGUCAAUAAAUCCAUAGAAAAGAAAAGAUACAUUUAUCCGGUGUUUAUUGAUCUUGAAAAGUUUAUGAUAGGGUACCUCUAAAAGUGCUAUGGUGGGUGCUAUAGAAUCAAAUCAUUCAAGAUGUGUAUGAUGGGGCAAAUGAGACUUUGAGACAUAAUGGUAAUUCCAAAUUGCUUGAGAUGUAAAUGGAAAUUCCAAGUCACUAUAAGCUUGCAUCAAGAUUCUGCCUCAAGACCUAACCUUUUUGGACUAGUCAUGGACACGCUACAGACCUAUCCAAGAUGAGGUCCCUUGGUGUCUGUAAUUCAUUGAUGAUGUAGUUUUAGUUGGGGAGAGGAGAAGGUGAAGUCUGAAGUUAAGAGCAUUUGAAAUGUACUGUGGAAUCCAAUGGUUUCAGAUUAAGUAGAACCAAGACACAAUAUGUGUACUGCUUAUUUUGUUGUAGGACUAUGGUUGAUGAUAAAGUUAUUGUAGAGGAUCAAGUUGUCUGAAAAAUGAUUUAUUUAGGCAUGUAGGUUUGUUUUUGGAUACAUUAUUAAGGAUUGAAAACAAUGUAAUUCAUAGAAUUAGAGCGGAUUGAAUAGAAUGGAGAAGUUUUACAGGAGUUCUAUGUGAUAUGAAGAUACCAUUGAGAUUUAAGGGCAAGAUCUACAAAACUGUAAAUAGACUAGCUAUACAUGUUCGUAAAAGGAAUGUAGUGGAAAUAAAGAUAUUAAAUGGAUAUGAUUCCACGGAGAUUAAAGGGCAAGAUCUACAAAAUUGUGAUUAGACUAGCUAUACUUCAUAGAUCUUGUUGAAGAUCAAGAUGUUCAUAGAACGAAUUUAGUGGAAAUAAUGAUAUUAAAUGGAUAUGCGGUCGUAUUAAGAUAGUUAAGAUACAAAAUGAAGAUAUAUUCUAAAAGGUUGAGGUGCUGCCUUUAAAGGAUAAAUUAAGUGAAAGAAGACUUGAAUGUUGGGUCACGUUUUUUUGUCGAAGGGAGGGUAGAUAAAACCUGGCCUAUGGUAAUUGUUAGAAAUCUAGUUGAUUUGAAUCUAUUGGUAGAUCUAGCAAAGAAUAGAACGAUAUAGCAACGACUCUAGUAGCGGAUUCCAAAUUUAUUGGGAAUAGGUCUUAGUUUAUUGUUGUAGCUUGGCAAUGAUCAUGACAUGAUAAUCAUCUCUGUAGCAUGGACACUUCAAUUAGGGUAGCAUGUCAGACACCGACACUCUUCGGACACUUUAUUUCUUUUUUAUUAAUAUUAUACAUUUUUACCUAAAAGUUAUUUGUAAAUAACAUAUAGAUAAUUAUAUUUGAAAGAUUUCAACUAGAAAUACUAAUAGCAAGUGUAAAACUAAAUUUAUAGAAUAUAAAUGAAGAGUUUUAAAGAAUUCAACAUGUCAGUACUUGUAGAGAAAGAUUAUAAAUUUCUUCUUCUUGAAUAUGAGCUAUACAUCGCCCCUUUUUAUAGUACAAAGAAGGGAAAAUAAAAGGAAAGAAAUAACUGCCUACCAAAUCUAAAGAUUACAAUAAUCAAUCAAUCCUUUAAUUACAACUCUAACUAUGGAAAUAAAUAAUCCCUAAAAAUCGUGAUUUCAUCACUCCCCCUCAAGUUGGAUCAUAAAUGUUUAUCAUAUCCAACUUGAAAAUGAAAUCAUCAAAUUUCUGUCUUGAUAGUCCCUUGGUGAAGAUUUCUGCAGUUUGUUCUUGUGUAGGAACAUAGGUCAUGCAAAUGGUUCCUUCCUCAACUUUUUCUUUGAUAAAGUGUCUGUCUACCUCUACGUGUUUUGUUCGAUCAUGUUGAACUGGAUUAAGAGAGAUGUUGAUAGCUGCUUUGUUGUCACAAUAAAGUUUGAUUGGUGGCCUUAUUGUGACAUAUAGUUCUUCUAGGAGCAUCUUUAACCAUAGUCCUUCACAUAUUCCUUGCGCAACUGCUCUGAAUUCAGCUUCGGCACUACUUCUGGCAACUACGUUUUGUUUCUUGCUCCUCCAGGUUACUAGAUUUCCCCAUACAAAUGUGCAGUAACCUGUAGUAGAUCUCCUAUCAUCUGUUGAUCCGGCCCAAUCUGCGUCUGUGAAGACUUCCACUCCUUUUCUUUCAUCCUUUUUGAAGAAUAACCCCUUCCUGAGGAGCCCUUGAGAUAUCUCAGUAUCUUAUAGACAGCUUCUAAGUGACUUUCCUUUGGAGAGUGCAUGUGCUGACUUACCAAACUAACCGCAAAUGCUAUGUCAGGUCUGGUGUGUGAUAGGUAAAUCAGUUUUCCAACCAAUCUUUGAUAUCUUUCUAUGUCUACAGGAUUUCCUUCAUUGCCAUUUUUCCUUCCAAUAUCUAUGGGUGUAUCACUUGGUUUACAUCCUAGCAUGCCAGUUUCAUUUAGAAGAUCAAGAACAUAUUUCCGUUGUGAUACACUGAUCCCUCGUCUUGAUCUCGCAACUUCCAUUCCCAGAAAAUAUCGCAUUUUUCCCUAGUCCUUUACUUCAAAUUCAGUGGCAAGACUUAUUUUUAGUCUUUCCAUUUCUGUUCUGUUGUCUCCUGUCAGAAUGAUAUCAUCAACGUAUACGAUCAGAAUAGUUUUAGUACCUUCUACAAACUGCCGCAGGAACAUAGUGUGAUCUGACUGCCCUUGGCGAUAUCCUUGAUUUUUCAACACUUUUGCAAAUCUAUCAAACCAUGCUCUUGGUGAUUGUUUGAGUCCAUAUAGUGAUUUCUUUGGCUUGCAUACUAAACCUUUUUCCUCCUCUUUACAAAAGCCUGGCGGUAAUGUCAUAAAUACUUCUUCCUCCAAUUCCCCAUUCAAGAAUGCAUUUUUAAUAUCAAGUUGCUGAAGAGGCCAGUCCAAAUUUACUGCUAUUGACAGAAGGACUCGAACUGUAUUCAACUUUGCUACUGGGGCGAAUGUCUCUGUGUAGUCAAUACCAUAGGUUUGAGUAUAUCCUUUUGCAACCAAUCGGGCUUUAUACCGAUCUAUUGUCCCAUCUGCUAUGUGUUUGAAGCUGAAAACCUUUACAUCCCACGGGUUUCUUUCCUUGUGGCAACUCCAUUACUUCCCAAGUUUUAUUUUUUUUCAAAGCACGCAUUUCUUCCAAAACUGCCUCCUUCCAUUCUGGAACUCCCAAUGCCUCCUGAAUAUUCCUCGGGAUAAUCGUAUUGUCAAGGCGUGCUGUAAAAGUACGGAAUUCUGAAGAUAGAGCAGUAUAUGACAUGAAUUUUGAGAUAGGGUGUUGAGUGCAUAACCGUGGUUGUUUUCUGAGGGCAAUGGGUAAAUCGGUAUUAGAUAACUCUGAUACUUUUUGAGGUGGAGCUACCAUCGGUUCUGAUUCUUUUGGUGCUUCAGUCGUGAGAUUCUCUGUGUACUUUGAUUUUGGCUUUCGUGAGUAAACUAAUAUCUCCUUAUCCUUUUGUUUUUCUACGUCUCCCCCUGUAUUCAAAUUUUCUUUUGGUAAUGGCAUAUUAGCAUUGGAUGGAGGAAUAAGUAGAGAAGGUUCAGGAGAAGAGAGAUUGAAGUCAAAGAACCGAUCUUCUGUUAAUGUCUCCCCCUGAAGAGAGGUUUGUUCAAAGUAUGGUUUAUUUUCGAAGAAGGUGACAUCAAGACUUACAAAUGUUCGUUGUGUGGGCGGAACAUAGCAUUUGUAUCCUUUUUGUGUAGGAGAGUAGCCAAUGAGGACACAUUUAAUUGCCCGGGGAUCAAGUUUGUUUCUUUGAUGGGGAUCGACAUGUACGAAGGCAGUACAUCCAAAUACUCGUAGGGGUAGAUUAGAGCUAAGACGAGAAGUUGGGAAAUAUUUUCGGAAUUUUUGGAUGGGAGUUUCAAAAUUUAGGGCUCUACUAGGCAUUCGGUUGAUGAGGUAAAUGGAUGUAAGGACAGCAUCCCCCCAGAAUUUUUUUGGCAUGUUUGUAGUGAACAUUAGGGAACGAGCGACUUCUAAUAUAAGUCUAUUUUUUCGUUCAGCAAUCCCAUUUUGUUGGGGAGUAUCAACGCUUGAACUUUGAUGAACUAUGCCAUGUGUUCUGAGAUAGUCGCCUAAGAUGUUAUUGAAGUACUCUGUGCCAUUAUCAGUGUGUAAGACCUGAAUUUUGGUUUGGAACUGUGUUUGAAUCAUAGUGUGGAAGUUGACAAACAUGCCCCGAACUUCAGAUUUAUCUUUUAGUAGGUAAAUCCAACAAAUUCGAGUAUGAUCGUCAAUGAAUGUGACAAACCAUUUAGAGAGUACGAUUUGGAAUCCAUGAGGGACCCCAUACAUCGCUAUGAAUCAUAGAGAAUGGCUUUGAUGGUUUGUAUACGGAUUUUGGAAAUGGUGUACGCUGAUGUUUUGCAAGUUCACAAAUUUCACAUUGAAGAUCAACUGUCUUUUUAUUCGAAAAAAUAGAAGGUAGUACACGUUUUAGGUAUUGAAAGUUGGGGUGUCCCAUUCUAAAAUGCCAUAACAUAAUUUCGCUAUUUCUAAGAAUAGACGCAGAAUCACAAAUUUUAAUUUGACACUAUUCACCCACAUCUGCCUUGUCAAAGUAAUAGAGUCCUUCACUUUCUUUAGCACUGUCAAUCGUCUUCCCCGAUGAUAGGUCCUGAAAAAUACAGUAAGAUGGGAAAAAUUUAGCAGAACAAUGUGAGGAUUUUGUUAACUGACUUAUAGACAGUAAAUUGCAAGAUAGAUUAGGAACAUGAAGAACAGAUUCCAAGGUUAUAGAAUUAGAGAUUUGAAUAGUCCCUUUUCCUGCUAUGGUGGACAGAGAUCCAUGUGCAAUUUUAACCUUGAGAUUACCGGCACAUGGGGAGUAAGAUGAGAAUAAGUGGUAGGACUCUGUCAUGUGGUCCGAGGCUCCUGAGUCAAUGAUCCAGGGUGUUUUUGGUUGAGUGGCAGAUUUUAAGGCCCUCAAAAAAUUACCUUUGUGCGCUAGUGAACUUGACGGGUUAUUGGUUUGGUUUGAUGAUUGUAGGCUAGAAAACAUUUUGUAGAGCUGUUCCAUCUGCUCGGCAUUAAAUGCACCACUUGAUUCCUUAGACUUUCCUCCCUGAUAGUCAAUUGAUGCCUGAUUUCCACGGUAUUUAUUACUUUGUCUAGGCUUCCAGUUGGCGGGUUUUCCAUGCAAAUCCCAACACGUGUCUUUGUUAUGUCCUGGUUUACGGCAAUGCUCACACCAAGGUCGUCCUUUUUGCUGCCUUGGGUCUGACCCAUUUGUCGUUCCUUUUAAAUAAAAGCCCGUAUUCUCAGGCCCAUUUGUUGACCCAAAAUUAGGAUUUCCUGGGCCAUAUUUUAAAAGGCCCAGCCCAUUGCCUUUUAGCCCACCGUUAGAUGGCCCAAUAGCCGACCCGGUAGAUAACCCAAUUCCUUUUGACAAUAGGGCUGAAGAUUCACUCGUCGAAAUCGAUCCACCCACGCCUGAAGGACCUCCAGUCAUCUCCAACAUAAUUUUUCUCCGGCUUUUUUCUCGUCUGACCUCUGCGAACACUUCCCUCGUCGACGGUAAGGGUUUCCGGCUAAGGAUUCGUCCCCUCACCUCAUCUAGGUCGCGAUUCAGUCCGGCCAAGAAUUCGAAGACCCUUUCGUUUUCCAGCCUUUUUUUAAAUCGAGCACUGUCGCCUGCGCAAUCCCAUGCUUCUUCGGUGCUCAAGUCGAGUUCUUGCCACAACGUUGACAUCUGCAUGUAAUAUUCAGUUACUUCUCGAUCGCCUUGCUUGGUUUGCCAGAGUUUAGUUUUGAUUUCGAAAAUUUGGGAUGAAUUUUCAGAGUCAGAAUAUGUCUCUCUGACUGCAUCCCAUACAUCUUUUGCAAUGGGCAGAAACAGGUAAAUUUUUCCGAUGGUGGGUUUCAUGGAGUUUAUCAGCCACGCAGUCACCAAUGAGUUUUCUGAGUUCCAUUUUUGGAGAAGAACCGUGUUGGUUGAGGCCGGCUUCGUUAUCUCCUCAGUCAGGUAACCUAAUUUCCCUUUCCCAUCGACAAUUAACUUGGUGGAUUGAGCCCAUUCUCGAAAAUUUUUCCCGUUCAGUUUUUCAACCGUUAAUUGGAAUGAUGAAUUCUCUCCCAUGCCUAUGGCAAAGCCAAAUUCUGACUCUCCAUUGAAGAAGUCAGAGGUUGUAGAUCCUCUGCUAUUGGCUUCUGUCAUUAUUUUGGCUGAUUAGUUAACGAGCCUGAGCUCUGAUACCAUGUAGAGAAAGAUUAUAAAUUUCUUCUUCUUGAAUAUGAGCUAUACAUCGCCCCUUUUUAUAGUACAAAGAAGGGAAAAUAAAAGGAAAGAAAUAACUGCCUACCAAAUCUAAAGAUUACAAUAAUCAAUCAAUCCUUUAAUUACAACUCUAACUAUGGAAAUAAAUAAUCCCUAAAAAUCGUGAUUUCAUCAGUACUUUUCAGAAAAUCGUGUGUCGGCGUAUUUGAGACGUAUUGUGUCGGACACGUGUUCGUGUCGGUGCAUCAUAAAUAAUUAUUUAGUAAUGUAAACUAUGUUCAUUGAUUCAUAUAAUGUUUUAUAAAUGCGAACUUGGAAAGUGCAUUAAGCAUCUUCCUUUUAGGUUCAAUAAAAUCUAUUGUAUUAUACACACUUUGCAAAUUAUGCUGAACACUUUAAUUAUACAAAUGCAUAUGGAAUUCUUGGUACUUAGUGAAUUCCUUGUCUUUCGUGAGUAGUUGGUUUCUGUAAUUAUAACUAUUCUAACAAAUUUAAAAUAUUUAUGAAUUAAUUAUUGAUUAAAUUGUGAUUUGAUUGUCUAAAUCACUCAUCCAACUUCAUAUUCAAGUUAUUUUGAUCUUUGACAUGAAUGUCUUUUGUUUAACAUCUCUUAAUUUCUUACCUUACAUGAUAUUACAUUGAACGUUUCCCCAUUAGAUAUAUAUGGUUGCACUAGAAUAUAUAAAAUAAGAAAUGGUAAUAUAUGCUAACAUAGAGGAUGAAUUAAAAAAUGACAGAUAAGAAGUUAAGAACAUUUCUUGCUAAGACCUAACGCUCCCAUUCGUAGGUAUAAUGCAAUUUUAACAUAACACAAUUAAAGAAGGUAGAGGUUGAUUAAAAUGACAUAUUAUGGUUGCAAAUAUUUGAUUUACUGACCUUUGACGAGGGAGUGAUUAUGGAUCAUAUGUGGUGGUGAAAAAGAUAUUCCAGGCAACUAAGCCUAUUAGGAAUAAGGUUUAAAUUGCAUUUGUUCAAUUUUCGGUAAUAUAAAGGUAAAAAUAAAUAAUUUUUCAUUGAACUACUUGACAAAGUGUGAAUCAAAGUUUUAAAUAUUUGUAUCCAUUCUCAAUUUUUUUUAUUUUUUAUUAUUAUUAUUAUUAUUAUUUUAACCAAAAUCUUGAUCUACAAUCUCUUUAUUGAUAUCUUGAAAAAUCUCAAAAUGAUAGAAAUAUCUAUAUUACAAUAUUGACUGUCUAUGAAGCAUUUUUCUUUUACUUGCUUUUCUCGAACAUUUCUGUUUAUUUACUUUUAAACUAGAAUAUAAUGUUGCUUCUAUGAUAGACUAAUUGUUGCACAUUGAAAUAUCUGAUGCAAAAUAAUAGCUAAGGAAUUUUCAUCAACGUUGAUAACGUUUUACAAUUUUAAGAAUCUCAGUACAUGAUUUUUUAUUUUUUUAUGUUCUUUCAUUAAAUAUAAUCAAUUAUUAAUUUUAUUUAAAAAAGAUAGAAGACUUUACCGUUGAUUCUCUUGCAAGUUUUGCAGCUGUUGGCUCAACACAGCAGCUUCCCUUUGCCAAAACUAUCAAGUAAAAUAGUGCCAUUUAUAAAAUUAUGGAAAUAAUAUAAAUAUUUUAAAAUGUCAAGUUUCUAGUUAUGCCAAUUAACAAUAUACAUAUGUAUACCUAGAGCACAUAUAUAGAAAAUAUUUUAGAAAUGUUGUACCAUAAAGCACUAUAAAGUCACAUUGAUAUGAGCAUAAAAGAAAAUUAACUCCAUCAAUUUAGCUCCUUUAAUUGCUCCUAUUAACAGAAUUAUGAUACAACUAUACAAUUAGCUCAUAAAUUAUGCUAGUUACAAUUAUAUAAUUAGCUCUUAAGAUAAAGCUAACUACAAUUAUAUUCCACGCCCCCUCAGGUUGUUUCGAAAAUGUCUUAUCAUUCCUAACUUGCUAACACGUAAGAAAUACAAAUUUGAGUCAACUCUUUGGUAAGGACACUAUCUGAUUGUUUUCCACUUACAACGAAAUGGAAUACACAUCAAUCUUUAGUAAUAUGACUACCGUGCUUUAUCAUGUCAAAGUAAAUAGGAUUAUAACGAAUGUUAAUAGUAACUAUGUUAUUGAAGUAUCAACUCGUUGUUCAAUCGAAUCUUCAACCAUAGUAGUUAUAUAUUUCUUGAGUCAUUGAUCUAACAUGGCUUUAUCACUUGAUCUAGCCACUACAUACUGCUUAUUACUUCUCGAAAUAACUAAAUUUCCUCGGACAAACAUAAAGCUCCCGUUUGGCUCUCAUUAAAACAAAUUAUAAAUUUUGGAAAAGUAUUUUUUUGGAUAAUGUGUGAUUGAAAAAGAAGGAAAAUUUUUUGGUUUAUAUGUAAUAUUAUUUUAUUGAAGAAUGUGUGGUAAAAAAAAAUAAAAAAAAAUAAAAAAUAAAAAGAGAGAGAGAGAGAGAGAGAGAGAAACGUGUUAUAAAUUUAUUGGGGCUCAUAUGUGGCAAAAUAUCCAGCUGUAAACCUUCUAUCACACACUGAAUCAACCAAAUCAACAUUUGUAUUACUUCUCCUUAGAGGUUAUAAUUCAUUGAGGAAACAUGUCAAUUCCAAGAGUACCUUUCAAGUACCCUAGAAUCUCAAAAACUACCAUGUUAUAGGUUUCACAAAGAAAGUGAUAUAUAUGCUCACCAUUAUUUGCAUCAAAUGCAAUAUGUGGUGUAGUGUAAGACAAAUAUAAAACUUACCAUCCAAUAUUUGUUAUAAACCUCUAUCAACUUCAACGCUCUCAAUGUAGCUCUGGAACUAUGUUUUAGAUCAAUUGGAGUGUCUCUUGGUUUGCAGCCUUAAUACAGGAGAUCUAAGACAUACUUUCUCAAUGGUAGAAAUAUCCAUUUACUAGACCUUGCAAUUAUAAUGCCUAGAAAGUAUCUUCUUUCCUCAAACCCUUAAUUCUUGAAUUCUUUUGUAAGAAUUCUCUCAAGUCUCUCAAUCUCAUCAGUAUCAGCAUCAGCGAUAGUAACAAUGAUGUCAUCCACAUAGACAAUUAAGGUAAGGAUUAUUUUUUCUAUCUUUAAAUUGUUUAAGGAACAAAGUAUGAUGAUUUUGGCUUUUAGUAUAAUCAAAUCGAUGAAUUCCUUUUAGCUUCUUGAACUAUGCUCAGGUGAUUGUUUUUGUCCGUAUACGGACUUCUUCAAUUUGCACAUUUUGCUUUCAAAACAUAUCUUUAAAAAGAAGUGCACAAAUGAGAAAUAGGGGAGAAUGAAAAGGGCGCCCUACCUACAAUGAAACUAAAGCCUAUGAUGCUCGGACUCCGGUCUGGGUAUCGGGUACCAGUACGUAUAUAAGUGUUAGAUCUUUUAUUUUUUAAAAUCUAGGAUAAGGGGACAUGAUGAAAAAGAGUCUAAAUUUCGGACACGGGUACUGGUACCUCUUUCAAGCUUCAAUUUUUUUACUAAUUGAAGAUGUUAUUUUGAGUAGACCAAAAUCAACUGUUCAUAAAGAAGGAAAUGAGUAUUGAAUAAGGGAUUAAAACGAAUAAAAUAUAAUUUUCCGAUUUAUUUUUCAAUUAUGAGAAGUUAAUUAUUCAAAUGUUAAGUAAAAUAGAAAAGAAGAGACUUGAUUGCAAUUUGGACUUAGUGGAGCACUAAGUAGCAUUAUAUGGAACCAAUUUUCAUUUUAUAUGGAAUCAAUUUUUAUUUUAUUCAAAGAAAACUCUAAACCACAGAUAUAGAGAGUGAAAGAAAGAAAAAGAAGAAAAGGGAAAGAAAAAAGGAAGAAGAAGAAAGGAAAGCCUAGAGUCGUAACCUUUCUCCAUCCUCUCGGAGGCCGCACUAGGUUUAUAGAGAGUGAAAACGGAUAGAAAAGGAAAAGAAAAAAAGAAGCAAAAAAGGCGAAGUGUCCUGUUGAAACUUAGAUGAUCAGCACUUAUCCCAUAUCCGUACCCAUGUCAUGUUGUGUCCGACACGGGUACUCCGACCAUUUCGAAGAAUCCGAAGAUCAAAGACUAAAGCCCCAACGAGCAAUUGCAUUUUCUAACUGAAAUGAAAUACUAUUACUAGAAUGGAAUUGUACGUCUAAAAUAGUCCUAAACAACUUUCUUAGGAGCAAUUGGUAUUCAAGAUCAUAAAAAUCAAGUUUUAUGGCAAGAUUAGAAAUUGCUAUGUUUUAAAAGAUUUUUGCUCGGUUGAGGUGAUGGGUGAUCUUGUGAAGAUUGUGUCUUAUUCUUCUUGAGUAAUCCUUUAAGUUAUAGCCUAUAGCAUGUAUGCUUUCAAGUGGAAUGCUAGUGGUGUGGAAGCAAUAAUAAAAUGAUUGUAAUAAGAAUUAUGUCUUAAGAAGAAUAUUGAAAUAACUUACUUUAUUGUUGAUUGAAUAAUGAUUGGUGUUAUGAAAAAAGUUUACAAUACCUCUAUAUUUGUAGGCAAGAUAAUUCCUCGUCCUAUUAAUGUAAGGAAACUAAAAUAAGAAAACUAAUAAAAAUCCUAAUCUAAAAGAAAUUGAAAAACCUAUUCUAAUUAAUAAAAUAAGAAAUCCUAUUCUAAACAAAAUAUUAGAAUAAAAGGAUAAAACCUAUUACAGCUAAAUAUCUUAUUAUAAUUAUCUAACUUUUACUCUAAUUACAAUAGGAUUGUCCUACAUCAUUCUCUCACACUUGAAAGAAACUCUUUCCUCGAGUUUGGUUGAAGAGAAGAAAAUUAAUAAAUCGGGAGGAGAAUACUCAAAAACAAAAAUUUCUGUCAAUACUCUGAUAUUUAAAACAUUUCAAUUUCUUGAUGUGCUUGAUAAAUGUUAUAUUCUUCAUCUGUUAGGGCUUGCAUUGUGUAUGUGCCCUCAUGCUCAAGUAAUCUGGCAAACUGACAAUGUAAAUAGAAGCUAUCACAGAUUCAACACUCUUAUCAAUCCCAGCAACAUCUUCUGACAUAGAUGUAGUGAUUUUGAAACAUGAAUUUUUUUCCUUUUGGUAGUGAUCUGAUGGCUGGUAAUAGUGAGGUGAAUAAAAUUCCCAUUCAGUUAGUUUAUCUACAGGAACUGAAACUGUAGUUGGUACAUUUUGAACAGUCACCUAGCAUGUCUCCAAUAGCUAAGAAAACACCAAAUAUUUCCUGCUUAGGCAUUCCCAGUGAAGAAAAUUAACUUAAGGAGCUCCAUUAAGCCUCUAUAGUAACUAAUAUGCCUGCUGAACCAUGUGAUUGCUUCUACAACUUUUCCACCAUGCAGUAAUAAUGUUGACGUCUUAAAAUGCAACCAUUUUGUGAUGCUCUUAAUCUCAUUUAAACUCUGGAUUGGAAGCCAUCUUGUUGAGAUUCCAACCACCUCUUGUAGUGCAUGAUAGGCCUCCUCGUACAUCUUCUGAGCUUUAAGCCAACCUCUGUGAAACUCUGCAUAUACAGCAACUUUAAAAUAGUAGUGAAUAUGUAACUCUAUUAAGCCGAAGUGUUUUUUUUUUUUUUUUUUUCAAGACGUGAUUUAACUCUUCACCCUUUAUCUUUAUAAUAUGUAUUUGCAAGUUUAGUGCAUGCAAUCCCUAGCGUGUUGAGAGAUUGUUUAAGCUCUAACGGAUGAUUUGGUACAAAGAUGAUAAGAUUUUUCAAAUCUGCUUCUGCACGCUUCUUUAAGGAAAUCAUGCUAUCUUUACUUAUGUCAUCUUUGAUUUCUUCGUGACUGAAAAGUUUAAUUCCCUCAUCUCUUGUUGGAAACUUCUGAACUUCAAAUAGUUCAUCAUCGAAGUGCAGCUUAUUUUCAAAUGUCUUUAUUGGAUACUCUCCCACUCAGAUAGGAUACAAAUGUUACGAUCCUUCGAAAGGAAAAGUCUUCGUGAGUCUCGAUGUCACUUUUUUUGAAAACACUCCAUAUUUCCACCAAACCUCUCUUCAGGGGAGGAAUCAAAGUGAAGAUCGGUACCUAAACCUAGAUCUUCUUCCCUUGGAGCCUGUCUCAAUCAUACUUCCUAGUUCUUCUAUGCCAUUAAUAGGAGAUAGCUUAAAUUAAGGGAGAGAUGCAGAAAAGCAAAGAGACAAUGAGAUGCUUGUCUACUCAAGAAGACCAAAAGCAAAGCAGAAGGACUUCACACUUGAAGUACCAAGAGAGUCAGAACUGAUGGUAGCUCCAGAACCCUAUGACACCACAAAGGUAUCAUAAUCCUCAGAUAUUAAUCUUCCCAUUGCACUCAGAAAACAAACUUCAUCAUGUACUCUUCAUCCCAUUUCAAAGUUCAUGUCCUAUAAUGCUCUAUCAACUGAAUUUCGCAGUUUUACCUCUCAUCUUAACAACACCAAAAUUCCCAAGAACAUUUAGGAAGACUUAGAACUUUCAAAGUGGAGAGAGGCAGUGAUGGAUGAAAUGCGAGCAUUGGAAAAGAACAAAACUUGGGAGAUAGUAGAGCUGCCUCAAGGAAAAAAACCAGUUGGAUGCAAAUGGAUUUUCAACCUAACAUACAAAGCUGAUGGAACAAUAGAAAUGUAUAAGGCUCGAUUUGUUGCUAAGGGAUACACACAGACUCUGAUGCACCGACGCGGACACAAGCUCGAUUUUUUGAUGAAAUCUUUUAAAUAUAAGUAUUUUUUUUGUUAUUUACUAAUAACUUUGAGUAAAAAAUAUAUAAUAGCUAUAGUAAGAAAGGAAAAUGAUUAUUGUAGAGUGUUUGAAGAGUGUCGGUAUCGACAGGUGUCGGACAGGGACACGCUACCCUAGUUAGUGUCCAUGCUACAUAGCACAAACAUAUGGGAUUGAUUACACAUAGACAUUUGCACCUGUAGCAAAAUUGAAUACUAUUCGAGUACUUUUGUCAUUGGCAACGAAUUUAGAUUAACCCCUUCAGUAAAUGGAUAUUAAGAAUGCAUUUCUCAGUGUAGAAUUGGAAGAAGAGGUUUACAUGACACUACUUCCAGGUUUCUGCAAAGCAGGCGAAAAGAAUCAAACAUGUAAACUCAAGAAAUCAUUAUAUGGUCUCAAACAGUCAUAUAGGAAAUGGUUUGACAGAUUUGCAAAGGUACUGAAGAGGAAAGGAUACCAACAAGGACAGUCAGAUCACACUAUGUUCUUAAAGCAGUUUGAUGAUAGGGCGAAAACAAUCUUAAUUGUUUAUGUUGAUGAUAUAAUCUUGACAGGUGACAACAUAAUAGAGAUGGACAGACUAAAGAGUUUAGCAGCAAAAUUUGAAGUAAAAGAUAAGGGACAAAUGUUAUACUUCUUGGGAAUGGAAAUAGCAAGGUUACAUAGAGGUAUCAGUGUCUCACAAAAAAAUAUAUAUAUAUACUUGAUCUCCUUACAGAGAUUGAAAUGCUUGGAUGUAAACUAAGUGAUACACCUGUUGAUGUGGAAAAAAAGGUCAAGAAUGUUGGCAACUCUGUAGAUAUUGACAGAUAUCAAAGACUUGUGGGUAAACUAAUCUGUUUGUCACAUACUAGACCCGAUAUUGCAUUUGCAGUUAGUAUGGCAAGCCAACAUAUGCAUUCUCUGAAUGAAGCUCAUCCAGAAACAGCCUACAAGAUACUCAGAUAUCUCAAGGGAUCCUUCGGAAAAGGAUUAUUCUUCAAAAAAAAUGAUAAAAAGGGAAUAGAAAUCUUUAUAGAUGCAUACUGGGCAGGUUCAACAGAUGAUAGAAGGUUAACUAUUGGAUAUUGCACUUUUGUAUGGGGAAAUUUAGUAACUUGGAGAAGUAAGAAGCAAAAUGUUGUAGCUAGAAGUAGUGCUAAAGUUGAGUUUAAAGCAGUAGCACAAGAAGUAUGUGAGGGACUGUAGUUAAAGAAACUUCUGGAAGAGUUGCGCGUUACAUUAAAAGCUCCAGUUAAACUGUAUUGUGAUAACAAAGCUACAAUCAACAUUUCUCUGAACCCGAUUCAACAUGAUCAAACUAAACAUGUAGAGGUAGACAGACACUUUAUCAAAAAGAAGGUAGAUGAAGGAAAUAUUUGUAUGAUAUAUGUUCAUACACGGGAACGAACUGCAGACAUCUUCACUAAAGGUCUAUCUCGACAAAAAAUUGAUGAUUUCAUUCACAAGUUGGAUAUGAUCAACAUUUACGAUCCAACUUGAGGAGGAGUGUUGAAAUUCUAGAGAUAUGAUAAUAUCUUAUUUGCAUUGAUUAACUAUUGUAUUUAGGGAAAUUGUUAUUAUUGUAAUUAGGCAUGAUUCUUGGAGAUUAGGUAGGAUUUGAGAAUAUUUUUUAUUUCCUUAAUUUAGCCCCUCUUGAGUACUAUAAAAAAGGGCACUCAGCUGUAAUGUAAAAUAAGAGAAAAAAGAUAGUUUUUUCCUCUCUUCUCAAGUCUCUUAACAUACAGUUAUAAAUUAAGUUGGUAAGUUUUUUUAUGUUGUGGCAACCUGGUAGGGUUAAUUUUCACGUGAAACUAUAUUUGAAUACAAUCCAAAUUCCACCUUUUAUAGUUGUUAGUGAAUCUUCUUUUAGUGAGGUAAGUAUUAAUUAUAUAAUUUAUACCAAUUCAAGUACGUGACUAGUAUGAUUUGUUUUAUCAAAUUUCAAUUCUAUCCAAGUUUGGUAUACGUUUUCUUCCAUCACAAUUGUACUAUGACUUAACUACUAUUUUUUUUCCUAUAUACAGUGUGCAAUUGUCUAAUAAUUCUUCCCCAUGAAAUUUUACACUGCAGAUAGGAGAGAGAAAAUAGUUUUGAAAACUCAAGUCACGAUUUUAUUAACGCAGUCGAGAAAGUAGAAAAGAUAUUGGAAUUCUUUCAAAAAUUCAUUUUAUUUGAUGAGGUAAGAUACUUAUGUGCAAGUGGAUGUUUCCGUAUACUUUUAUGUUCAAUAAUUUAUGCAUUAAUUGUUAGUAGACUUCCUAGCGCAACCUAACGAAAUAUGAACUCUAUUGGGUUCUUAAUAACGAAAUGUGAAAUCCUUCUGGAAUUUAAAGUACUACUGAUUGAUGUGUCGCUUGGUCAUCGAUAUACUCCAUAAAAAUGUGGUAUGAAGAAGAGUGGGAAUGUCUCGAUGACGGCGUCAAGUACAAAAAAAGGCUUGAAAAUGAACGAGUUUUUGAAUUCCUGGCCGGUCUUAAUCGCGGCUUAGAUGACGUUCGAGGAUGAAUUUUGGGCCAAAAGCCACUGCCUUCCACACGAGAGGUGUUUGCCAAAGUGAGAAGGGAGGAAAGCUGACAAAAAGUAAUGAUGAAGGACGGAGCAACCGCUAUAGGAGACUUGGAGAUGUUGGCACUUCUGGGUAAAGGAAUUGGAGCUGCAUCGCCUCAUUAAUUUUGGCCGAAUGCUGGACUAUUCAAUUUGGACAAGCUGAAUAUUUUAUUGUUGGGCCAAUUGGUGUUGGGUCAAAUAUUGGGUAUUCUCAAAUUGGACAGAAUGGUAUCUCCAACUUUGGGCCUGGGUCCUCACAAUUUGGGCAAACAAUGUUAUCUCAAUUUGGGCGUACAAAAAGUGUUUGCCAAAGUGAGAAGGGAGGAAAGCUGACAAAAAGUAAUGAUGAAGGAUGGAGCAACCGCUAUAGGAGACUUGGAGAUGUUGGCACUUCUGGGUAAAGGAAUUGGAGCUGCGUCGCCUCAUUAAUUUUGGCCGAAUGCUGGACUAUUCAAUUUGGACAAGCUGAAUAUUUUAUUGUUGGGCCAAUUGGUGUUGGGUCAAAUAUUGGGUAUUCUCAAAUUGGACAGAAUGGUAUCUCCAACUUUGGGCCUAGGUCCUCACAAUUUGGGCAAACAAUGUUAUCUCAAUUUGGGCGUACAAAAAAUGUUAGGCUUACAGGUUUAUCAUCAAAAGGCACAACGAAUGGGUUGGACCAAAAACAACAAAAAGGACGACCCGAUGCGAAUACUGCGGUAAACGAGGACAUAAAGAAGACACAUGUUGGGAUUUACAUGGCAAACCCAUCAACUUGAAAUCAACACAAAAUAUUAAAAAUCGUGGCUAUCAAGUUUUGGUCAAUCAAACUAGAAAAUCCAAAGAGCAAAAAAAAUGGAGCAUUUAAUCCCAAGCAAUGAGAACAACUAUAUCAAAUCUUCUCCAACCUCAGACAUCAAGCUAGUCUUCUACAUACGGCUCUUCGAGCUCACUGGCUCACAAAGGUAGUUUCCUGAAAGCAUUAAAUGUCACAUCAAAUCAUAAGAACACCUUGGAUUAUUGAUUCAGGUGCUUCCAAUCCUACGAUGGAUGCUUAUCAUUUGUUUUGACCUUGUUCUAGACUUGCGACUUCUUUCUUAGACAACAUAAGGUACCGAAAGGAGUUAGGGUGUUUGAGCAUAUAUCAUCAAAUUGUAGUUGACUUGAAUAAUAAUGCCUGCAAAAAGUCGGCCCCAAAAAAUUUAAUCCUUGUUGCAGACCUUCAUAGUCAACCUAAAGGCAUGUUUAUGUGCUGUUUUUGAAAGAACUGUACAGCACAAUCUUUUUAUUCUUUAAAUUAUCCCAUACUCUAUAAUCCACCUUACCAAACAAGAUAUACAUUUUUCAUAUAAUAUUUGAAAAGUUCCCUCAUGUAGAAUGGUGAGUUACAGGAUUUGCAAUCAAUAUCAUUUAAGGAAGCUAGAUUUUCAUUUGAGAUCUCACGGAAAAUUCAUGUUCAUAAGUAGUUACGUAUGGAGCUGAGCUCUAAAAUGCAAUUAUAAUCACCCAAUAAUGGAGAGGUUUGAGAGUGUAUAUUAGUUCUUGGUACUUCUUGAUGCAAAAUAUGGUACUAAUCUGUUUUAAUGAAUCAUCUCUUAUGUUGAGAGCGUAGGUGGUCUACUUAAGAAAUGUGUGACUGGUCUUGACUUUUCCAAUUAAUGCAGUUCUCUUCACUGCAAUCUCUUUUGCAACCAUUCUAAAUAUCAUGGAGAGCAGGGCAUCAAUGCACCUAUAAGUUAACUAUUUGCCUUAGCUUGAAGUUAUUAUUUAAAUAAUUCUAAUCUUAUCAAUUUUCGUGGUAGUCUUCUUCAGAGAUGAUUGAGGGCUUAGGCAGUCUACUUAAGAAUUACAUGAUGGUUCUUGGUUUUUAGAAUAAUGCUUUUUCUUUCUUUCUUUCUUUCUUUCUUUCUUUUUUUUUUUUUUUUUUUUUUUUUUUUUUUUUUUUUUUUUUUUUUUUUUUUUUCUUUUUUUUUUUUUUUUUUUUUUUUUUUAAAAUUCAUUAUUCUCGUUUCCUUUUGUAUCUUUUCCUUAUCUCCUCUUCUUGGUUCUUGCUAUACCAACAGCCUUCUCUCUUUAUUCUUCUUCAUGUUUUCUUCUUCCUCUAAUUUUGGUUAGUCAGUGGAUGGUCUGCCACUGUGAGAAAAGAUGACUGACAGGAGAGAGAGUGUGAUCACAGGGAGGAAGAUAAUUGUGAUUAGACUAUCAGCGACUUUUAUCAGAUUAGAUUAGGUAUUUGAGUGGCUUCUUUUAUCAAUCUUACUUAAAAUGUUCUCACUUUUAUAAGUACCAUAAUACUAUAAAAAUAUGGAACUAUUUUUUUAUACAGGAGGGAGAGAGUGAUCACGGGGAGGAAGAUAAUUGUGAUUAGACUAUCAGAGACUUUUAUCAGAUUCGAUUAGGUAUUUGAGUGGCUUCUUUUAUCAGUCUUACUUAAAAAUAUUCUCACUUUUAUAAGUACCAUUAUACUAUAAAAAUAUGGUACUAUUUUUUUAUGCAGGAGGGAGAGAGUGAUCACGGGGAGGAAGAUAGUGUGAUUAGACUAUCAGAGACUUUUAUCAGAUUAGAUUAGGUAUUUGAGUAGCUUCUUUUAUCAGUCUUACUUAAAAUAUUUUGUAAGUACCAUUAUACUAUAAAAAUAUGGAACUAUUUUUAUACAAGGAAAUGCAACUUCUUGUUUUUACCAUAUAUGUUAAAAAAGUACACUUCUAAACUAGAUUGAACUACAUAGAAACUGAGACAAACGUAACUGGAGUUAUUAUUUUUAGGGUCAGGACAUGAGGGAUAGAUGGUUGAUUUUACUUAAGUUCUUCCUAUAAAGCUGAAAGACCCUUGAAAUUAAGCAAAGAAACGACCCCAAGCAUGCCUAUUCCAUUUGUAUUAUACAGGGAGCAACUUUCUAGGUUUUCUUUAAUGUAAUUACUGCUGCUGGGAUAGGAAUUUUUGGUCUCCUACACAAUAGUGUAGUGGAUGGUUGGCAUUGUCCCUUACCCAUUUAUUAAUAGCAGUUUUCUAGCUUAUAUUACUUUCGGGUUAAUGUAAUAUCUCAAGACCACAAAUGAUUAACUAUCUGCUUGUUUGAUGUUAUCACUCUGGAAAGUUAUUGGACAAGAACUCCCACAGGACUUUUAACUGAUGUCCAAUAAACUCAAAAAUUUACUGCUGCUGGUGCCUACUACUUGUAUGAGAGUUCACGUGCUUCUUUAAAUGUGUUAUGAAGUACCUAUACCAUUACGUAUUUUUACUUUCUUUUCUUUCUCUUGCUUAAACGAUCUUGUUUUUUCUUUACUGGUAGUAUGCUUUUCUAGGGAAUUUCUCAUACUUGGUUAUCUAGUGAAAGUUUAAUCCCAGAAAUAAUCAUGUCUUCCAUAGAUAUUUCCAGUCUUCAUGCAAUUUAAUGCUCUUGGAGUCAUUUACAUGUCAAUCAAUACUUAUUCAACUUUUCGCGUGAUUGCUAUUACUUGUAUUUAGUCAUUCUUAUAAUUCUUCUUUGAAACAAUACACCAAUUAAAUCUAUAAUUGUCUGCUUCCUUUGUGAUGCUGACAUUACACUUUUGGAUCUUGAGCUCUUGAGUUCCUGUUAAUUGGUUCUCCUAGCUUGUCGUCAUAGAGCCACUCAAAUCCUACUUGCAUUUGUGCGAGUUUCACUUCUAACAAUAUCUAUAACCUAGGUUUAUUUUUUUUUAUUUUUUUAUUUUUUCAAAAAAAAAAAAAAAAUUUAUUUUUUGCAUUUCACUCAAAUCAGUUCUAUUUUUUGCAUUACCUGUUCCAUUAAUGUUCUUCAACAAAGUUGUCACAACUCAGCAUUGGAGAUGAGAAAUUUUGAGUGACUUAUUGAUUGCCUGGACAGGUUGUACCAGGUUUCAUUGAAUUCUUGACCUUUAUAAUUCGUCUCAUCUGCAUCUUCUGCUAAACAACUUGGAGGAGUUUUCAUGAAAUCUGUUCUUCUCGUCUUAUUACUUGAUCCUUAUUCUUAUCAUAUCAUUUUUAAUAUGAGCAAACAUCCAUCUUAUAAUUCUCAUUUUAGAUAGGUUCAUCUUAUGGAUAUGUCGUCCUAUGCAACACUCAGUCCUAUAUAAAGCAUAAAAGGUAUGAUCAUUGUUCUAUAGAGCUGACAUUUUAAGAUUACAGGAAUUUUCUUAUCGAGCAAUCACUCUAGUACUUCUCCAUUUCAUCCAACCUGCUCUAAUCUUAUGCGUUAUAUAUAACCUUGAAUUGCUCCUUCUAACAUUCUUCAUUCAUUUAAUUGAUUUUUUUAACCAUCCUUGUAGUUUCAUCUUUACAACUUCUUCAGCACUAUUUGGAGGAGAAUAAAUUGUAGUGAGAUAGAUCAAAUAUUUACAUCAGUCAUCUAGCAGGCAAUUCGAGACCUUUAAUUCUAUCAUACUGAUCCUAAGAUCAUACUUGGUUGUUACAUACUUCCCCUGGCUCCAUGAAGCAUCAUAGGCAGUCCCAUCUUACUCGCACAUCUUGUGUGGUCUACAAGACCAUCCUAAGUCAAUGGUAAGGAAUCAGUCUUUUCUUUGCAAGGUGCUUUCAAUAUUAUUUCAUCAGGGCAUCAUAAAGAAGAUUCUGUGCCCUAGAAAUUAAUUCUUUAGGCCUUCGGAAGAAAAAUCAGGGUACUUAAAAGCAUCAUAAAUUAUUACACUAUGCGAUAAGUCAGUAAUACUGCAGAAUGUAAAACUUGAGUUAAUCUGUGUUAUGUGUAUACCUUUAUUUGUCUUUGUUCUUCUUUUUCAGUAACCAAGAUUUUUUGUGAUAUUUGCAGAAAGGACUGUUCACAUAUUCAAGCUUCAUUUGAAGAUGGUCUAUUGCAUCAAUAUCUGUGAACUAUUAUAAAGUUCUAUGGGAUAGAUAACGGAAAGCAAAAUUUUCUCAUCCUGUAAGAGGAUGAGACUCUAAACAUUAUGUAAAAUAUAAACUGUUAUUGUGCCUUCAGGCUUAGUGUUGGUAUGUUUGAAUCUUUUGUUUCAAGUUGUUUGAUUUAGAUUCUAGGUACUUCCAUGUCUAGAAGCAUGUUAUCUCCUUCGAUUGCACAGAAAUUCUUUUGUUUUCUAUGAAAUUUAUAUAGAGAAAAAUGCAACGAAAGACAUUUUCCAUACAUCCAUCUUUAUUUCAAGGUAAAACACACUGGGAGUUGGG